CAUAUUCAUCGCCUCUUCUAUUGAAGUCACCUCCAAAUCUACUAACAAUUGAUAACGUGAUCCCAUACUUUUAUCCCCUUUUAAAAUUGUUUCCUUUUUUGAUCCCAUCCAAGCCGCGCCUGGCCUUCCACUCCACCAGCAUCCAAGGACCAUAGUUCCUUUCUCUGGCCGCCGUAGUAGCUACAGAAGUUUGUUCCAAUGUCUCACCCUUCUCUUUUGCCCCUGGGAGUUGUGUGAGUGACGGGUAAGUUUCCUUGGUGUGUCCAUAAUAGCCACACUUAAAGCAAACCAUAGGUAAGUUUUUGUACUUGAUGUUUUGAAGACUACCAUUGAUGAGAAUCUUCUAGACUAACGAUAGCCCUAAAUUGAAAAAAAACUGCCAUGCGAACGUACCAACCCUUGCUCUACUAUCAUUGUUAAAAUCCAAUUUUGUUACUUUACCUAUCAUUCCCCCAAUCUCCAUAAGAAUCUGUUUUUUUAUAAAAGUGACUAGGAAGCCCGGGAAAACGAAUCCAUGUGAGGACCUUAUCAGCCGAAGCUAAUGCCAUUAGGAGAGGAAGAAACUUAGCUCACAAGUAGAAGGGUUUCAAACCGCUUGACUAGAUAUAGAUAGGAAAGAAGAAAUGACAAUGCUGCUCAGUCUCUAGGCUACUCGACCGACUAACUAACUCGAUUAACUAAGAAGGAAAGGAGCUAAGAAAGUAGGGCAUAAAUAGCUGCAAGGGCUCGAUGAACGGCCUAAAAAGUCCUGGUAUCUCGUUGUAAUCCCAAGCUUGCAAUCCCUAAACUCCUUGAGUAGUCCUCUUUCUGAAGAGCAGUUGAUCGUGCUACUCAUUCAUGUAGGCUGUCACUCUGUUCGUUCCCUCUCAUAGAUGGAUUUCUCAGAGUAGAUCCUGCACUUCAUCCUUAUCCGAAAGCAUCUACUAAGCUAACCAUCUAAUCUAAGCAGUAGCAUCUCAACUCAAGGAAUAGCUUUCCCGCAAGAGGAAAGAGCAUCUAUCUACACAGUUAGCUGCCCCUACUUUGGGAUAUUGCCUUAGCUAGGUUGGCUCCUAGGCUAAAGCAACUGUACAAGAGGGGUAAGGUUUAGGAUUGAAAUCGAUUGUCCAGGUUUGGACAGUGAGGUAAUGACUGAAAAUAACCCACAGACCUUGGGAAUGAAUCUUGUCAUAGUCAUCAGUGUUCUGAAAUUUUGUAGGAAAAUAACCAUUUUCAGUAUCCAUUAAUUGAAAAGGGUUAGAUAGUUUCCAAAUCCCAUAUAUUAUAUGAUGCAAAGUUUUAAUUCCAAGGUUUUGUCCCAACAUCUUGAGUACCACAAAGGUUGACAAUUCUUUUUCCAAAAGUUGAUAAACUCUCUCCGAGAAAUCAAUGGAAGGAACACCAUCAAUAAAAGAUUUCUUGACAUCCUGCUCUAUGAGGGAGAAAUUAUCAGCAAAGGACUGGCGAUCACUUGUAUUGUUCUGAACAAAACUUUCCUUCCCCACUAGCAUAUCCUUCCAUGAUAGAGAAGGCACUGGCAGUGGAUCCACAACCAUCACAUCUUCAGGAAUUGCGUCUGACCCCUUAAAUCAAACCUUCUUGGUGUUAGAAUCCUCAAGAAUGGAAACACCUUCUUCAUUCCUAUCCUCAGUAGAAGUCAAAGAAAAAGUUUGUAAAACAUUUAUUUUCAAAACAUGCAUCAUUCAUAGUUUUGAAUCUUUAUUUCGCUUUAAUUUCAAAGAUAACAACUGCUAAAUAUUAAUAAUUUCAUAAUUUAACAAUUCGGCUACUUUAAUCUAACACCUUUAUAGUAUGCUUUAAGAAAAAUUGAAGAAGAAAGCUUACCUUAUGAAUUUUUUAUCGGUAACGGUGAAAUGUUGAAUCAAAAUUUCUCAUCUUCUUCUUGAAUUGGAGGAGAAGGUAAGCUGGUAAUGCCCACUAUUUUAUUUAUGUAAAAAAUUAAAUUAAUUGACUAAUAAUCAUUAAUUAAAUCAAUGGCUAUUAUUAAAGGAUGACAAGCUUAAUGGUUUUUAAUGGUUGGAUUUAGGCGGUGCCACUAACAUGAGUUGACCCAUGGUGUAAUUGCUUUUAGAUCCUUAAUAUAAUUGCACUUUAACGAUUUGAUUGAAAUCUCAAUUCAAUUCCACUAGUUUGAACCACUUCCAACCUAGUCCCUAUAUUGAUGUCCUAUUUAAUAAGUUUACUAAAAAAUAUCAAAUUUCGAGUUAAUUGAAUUCAUUUAUUUGAAUCAAGUCAAAUAAGUAAGUCAAGUUUCGAGUUCGAGUCGAGUUGAAUAUUACAAUUUGAAUAACUUGAAAAUUUUGAAUAACAAAUUGGUAUAAAUACCCCUUUGGUCCCUAUCAAUUUUGAAAAUGAGCAAAUUGGUCUCUCAACAAAAAUUACAAAAAAAAUUAAAAUAUUUAUAAAAUUUCAGAAUUUAUAUUUUAAAAAUAUGUAAUUUUUUAAAAAAGUCUCAAAAAUAUAUAAAGAAAGUUAAAAUUUAAAAUAAUAAUAAUUUUGGGACCUAAAUAAGUUAAUUAGUGAUUUAAGUUUAUCAUACUAAAUUAUCUUCUUCUUUUUUUCUUAUUUAGUUUAAAAAAGUUCAAAUCUAUAUUGUUUCAAUUUUAUGUGCUUUAACAUGGAAUUAGUUAUACUGUAACAAGAUUUUAAUUUGACAUGUUUAAUUUUUUAAUUUAACUUCAACAAUUUCACUCGAUUCGGUUUGACUUGAAUUUCAUUUCACUCGACUCAUCAAUUUUAGAAAAUAGGACUCAUCAAUUUGAUUAACUUAAAAUUUUCACUCGAUUUGAUUGAACGCUCACCCUUAGUUUACAUAAUUCUUUAAUUUUUUUUAAAAAAAAUAUGUUUUUUUUACAUUUUUAUAAACUAUGAAGUAUUUCUCUUCUCAUCUCAUUUUUACCAUUCAAACUUAAUAAAAAUUAUUCUCUUCCUUUCAAUCCUAUAACAUGACUAUAUAUAUAUUAUAAACCUUGACCAUAUUUUAUCACAUGAUAAUUAAAACUAAUUAGUAAAAAGGGUAAACUACUAUUGGGAUAAACUUAAUUAAGCAACGAACAAGUUAAAUAACAAAGGAAUUGAAAAGAUCGAACACAAAUAUUUCACUUGGAAAAUUCUCUCUGAAAAGGAUAAAAACCAAGGGCAAAGAUAAUUUCACUAAACCGAAAAAAAUGAAUAGUACAAAGAUGGAGAUAAAACUAAAUCCCAAAACCCAAAAUAAGAACCUUCAAAACGUAAACAAAAAAUUCUAUGAAAGCUUGUAAAAGCUAAUACCUAAAUGUGUAAUGGGUUAAAAAUUUCUAGAGUAGAAAAAUGCCUAUUUAUAGGUUAAAUUCGUAGAUCAAAUGAAAUUAAAAUAGCUUACACUAAUUAGAGUUCAACUAAAACAACCACUUAAAGUUUAACUUGGAGAAGAAAAUUGAGAAAAAAUCCAUGACACAUUGCCAUGUUAUUUCUGCUCCUCCCCUAUUUACAUCGUCAUGUCGUGGAGACAUUGCUUUUUGUUUGUGCCUAAAUUUGACCGAAAUGCGAGGUUUACUCCACAAGUCUCCACAUUGACUCGUAUUUCCAUAAUGUCUUCUUUGUCAAACCCCAUAAUAGGCCUACUCAAACUAUGCAAGAUAUUAACUAAGUCAAAUUUGUGUUAGAACUUUGAAGCCUAAAGACUUCUAGUCUUUGACUUGUGCACUGCCAAAUCAAAAUAGACUCAAUUUUGAUUUCUACAAACCCAGUGCCCUAUCUUUUCAAAAUUUGCAUCCAAAAGAGAACCUCUCUUAUAUGAAACAAUCAUACCUUUUUCCCUCAUAUGACCAAGUUGCCUCCGCUUCAAACGAGUCGACUUUGACUUCUUAACAAACGAGGGAUGUCUUGCUUCAUCGAUUACUGUCGAUCCUUCCAGAACAUAAAGAUUUUAAAUCAUUUUACCUUUCAUGAAAUUGAGAGCCCCACAAGAUACCUUAAUGUUGCUUCACUCGAUUUUAAUUCUACAACCCUUCGAAUCCAAAUUUCCAAAGGAGGUGAUAAUUCUCUUUGAAUCAGGUACAUACCUGAUGUUUGACAGUGUCUUGAUUGUCCCAUUGUGCAUCUAGAUUUGAACAAUACCAAUACUGAUUACCUUAGAAGGUGAACCAUUCCCCAUACGCACAACUCCACCUUCAACUGAACUGCAUAUGAAAAACCAGUCCUUAUUGAGAUAUAUGUGGAAAGAAUACCCCAAAUCUAGGAUCGACUCAGAUGUAAGCUCGGAUCUUUUGCUUGUUAACACCAACAAAAAAUCAUCACCCUUGUUAUUGAUUGAAUUAGCACCAGAUAAAUCUUCCUUAUUGCUCUUAGCAGCCUUUUUAUUUCGUAGUUUGAAAAAAUCUACCUUGACGUGACCUAACUUCUUACAAUAGCGACAUCUCUUGUCUCGUUUCAUUGAUGCUACCAAAAUCGAGGCUUUCCUAUCUGACUUGCUAUCUAGAGCAAACUUAUUAUUGAAUUUUUAUUUACUCAAUAGAUGACCUUUCACAUCAUUGAAUGAGAGUUUAUAUCUACCAUAAAUCAAGGUCUCCUUGAAAGACUUGUAUGAAGGGGGUAAGGAGCACAAUAAUAUUAUAGCCUGAUCUUCAUCGUCAAUUUAAACCUUAACAUUCUAUAAGUCAUUUAAAAUAGUAAUAAAAUUAAUGAUGUGACCUCUAAGGUGCUCACCUUUCUUUAUAUGAAAUGUGUACAAUAGUUUUAUCAACACUAAUUGGUUAGCUAGAGGCUUUUUCGCGUAAAUGAUUUCUAACCUUUUCCAUAAGGUUUAUACCAUUUUCUCCAUCAAUAACUCCUGUGAUACGUUAUUCGAGUGGCACAACUAAAUAACAGACAAUGCCUUCUCAUCAAGCUAUUUAUAUUUUGACUUUUCUAUAUCCACGAGCUUCUUCCUUGUAACAACCUUUUUCAUACCGCUUUGGACCAAUAUUGUCGUCAUCCAAACUUGUCAGAGAUUGAAAGUUGUGAUGCCAUCAAACUUCUCAAUAUCAAACCUUGUUGCUGUCAUCUAUUGAACGUAUUGAAUAUGAAAAUUGAACUAACUCUGAUACUAGUUUGUUGGGGAUAAACUUGAUUAAGCAACGAACAAGUAAAAUAAAAAAGGAAUUGAAAAUAUCGAACACAAAUAUUUUACGUGAAAAAUCCUCUCCAAAGAGGAUAAAAAAGCACAGGCAAAGAUAAUUGCACUAAAUCAGCAAAAAAAAGAGUACAAAGAUGGAGAUAAAACUUAACCCUGAAACCUGAAAUAAGAACACUCAAAACUAAACAGAAAACUUCCUGAAAGCUUGUAAAAACUAAUACCUAAAUGCGUAAUGGGUUAAAACUUUCUAGGGUAGAAAAGUGUCUAUUUAUAGGUUAAGUUUGUAUGUAAAAUAAUAUUAAAAUAAUCUACACUAACAAGAAUUUGACUAAAACAAUUACUCAGAGUUUAACUAGAAGAAGAAAACUGAGAACAAUUGUAUGACAUGCCGCCACAUCCCUUGUCGUGUUGUCGAGACAUCAUUUAUGUUUCUCCUUUAUUUCUAUUGUCGCGACGUCGCUCUUUGUUUAUACCUAAAUUUGACCGAAAUGUGAGGCAUAUUCCACAACUACCAAAAUAGUCACUUUUGUAUACCUCAGGUUAGAUUUUAAUCAUUUAUGUUUGAAAUCUUACAUUUUAGUCACUUACAUUAAUAUGUUUUUAACAUUUUAGUCACUGAGCCCUUAAUUGUCGUUAAGGGUAUAAUAGUAAGCUGACAUAGCACUUUAAAUCAUUAGUUCAAACAAAAAAUUUAGGUUAAAGUAUACAAUUGGUCCCCAUAUUUUUUUAUUUUGAGAAAUUUAUUUUUUUUCUUUUGUGUUCUUUUAACUUUCCUUUUUUUUUCUUUAUUUUCAAUUCUCUCUUGCUUCUCCAUAUGUUUUCCUUCCUUCUCCAUCUUUUUUAAAGUAGUUUUUUUAUAUUUUCCAUUUGUUAAAACUUUUUUAUUUUAUGAAAAUAGAAAAGGCAAAAGUUGAAACCAAAAUAAAACUUGGUUCAUAUAUUCUCACCCCACAAUUGCAAAACGCUCAUCGUCCAUCAUCACUUUAAUGAUUCAAUUUGAAUCACUUAAUGACUUAGUCUACAAGCUUAUUCCACUCGAAGACUUCUCCAGUAGUGACUUAUAGGUAGUCCAACCUCAAUAAAGUUUCCUGAGCCCGUUCCCUUAACCUCCUAAACAAUCCUUAUGACCACCUUAUUUAUCUUACCUACAACAUUCUCACCCUCUCGAAACUAUGUUAUUUCACGGAUUCUUCAAAUGAGCUUUACAUUCUCAAUGACUACAAUGACCACCAUACGAAACUUACUGUAACACCCCAAACCUGGCCUAGACGUUAUGGCUGAAUCUGAGAAUGUUACGAAGAAGGAUUUGAAAAAUUUGUCAUAUCAUGUUAAAGUUUCUCGUGUUAAUUGUUACAAAAUGGGGUCCAUGUUUUAAGAAAAACAUAUUUUUAUACUCUUUUAUAAAAACCGUCAUUUGUUUGUCUUUUUAAGUAAAAUGUAAUUUUGCAGCGGAAGUUUGAAAAUUUUUGUAUUUGAAACCCGAACUUGUAUUUUCAAAAACAUUUGUUGUGAAAAACUGUGGUUUUGUCAAAUGUCGCAGGAUAAAAGUCAAAAAACGUAUUCAAAACCAAAAGUUAUAAACAAAUAGUCUAAAGAGUCCCAAAAUUAUAAAACUCUCAAAGAAAAGUUGAAAAUUUUAAAAAAAUUAUUAAUUAAAGAAAACAGUCUCUGAACUAGUGGUUACCGUUGAGCCUCCGUCACACCUACCCGCCUAUGCUUGAGGAUUACCUGAACAUAAUAGAAAACAGAAGUGAGUUUCCAAAAAUUCAGUGUGUAACUCAACGAAAACAUACAUGCAUAUAUUUAAGAUUUCCAACAAUUCAGAACAGAAGCAAACAUAAGUCCUUAACAGAAUCAGAUCAUAUCAAAAUCAUGCAAAUAUUCAAAGUCCUACCCCAUGCUCUACACACCAACUCCAACCAUCCCAACACACCACAUGGGGUAUAAAACACCCACCCAUCCUUACACACUACAUAGUGUCUAUACGACACUUAUCGGAAUAUAUUGCAGCCAAGCUACCAGUAUAUCAGCGAAAUGUCGCCUCAUAGAACACUUUCUCAACGUAUACAGAUCCCCCCAUAUACAGAUGUAGAUAUUAGAUAAGCAUGUAUUGUAAAAUUAACAUGUCUCGCAUGCUCAUAAACAUUAAUCAUAUAUAUUUAUACAAAACAAGCAAAUCAUACGUAUCGGUUUUCUUCAUACUCAAAUCAGUCUAUCAGAAUAACAAAUCUCAUGCAUUAGGGUGCUUUUCCCUUACCGACCCUACGGAAGGCCUACAAUCGAUCAAAUCAACGUGUGUGACCUUAGGGAAAAAUAUUAAAUUUUGGGCCCACAUGCUCAUACGGGCCCACACGGCUUGGCCUACGGCCCACACGCUCGUAUGGCAUGCCUGUGUAGGCCCACACGCCCAAAUCAGCCUAGGCCGUGUGACCCAUACGGCUACAGAUACUCUCGUCACACGGUCGUGUGUCGCAUACAGCGUACCACACGGCUAGGCACAUGCCCGUGUGGCGUCGACAAGCCACUUUUUUGGCUUUCGCUGAACUUCGUUUUCUCACAUUUUUGUUACACACUUGGUUUAUUUUUGGUGCAAAAGUAACCCCGAGACAUGCGAAACCUAAAACAAUAAUCCAAAUGUUAUUUUUUCAAUAAAUUUAUGAACUCAAGCAAGAAUUUGAUUCCGAUUUAAGCCUUUCAAAACCGAAUUAUGCGCAAUGCACUUACCACAAACGAGUAGAAACACAAAAUACUCAAAACGAUAGAGGUGCACCUGUCGCUUCUUGUCUUUCCCGUAAACGAGAAAUAACGAACACCAUCAACAGAUUCCGUAAAACAAAAUUGAAAUUCCCCACAGCGCAAUAAUGAAAAAAACUACUAAAAAGCUUACCUAUUUGACACGAAUUAAAGAGCCCCCAAAAGCACGACAAUGGCAAUCAGAAUCGAAGAAGGGAGCAACAAUAAUUUUUUUUUUUUGCAAAGGAAAGGAGGGAAAGAGAGAACAUCUGAAAAAAUUUGGGAAAAAGAAAAAAUAAUAAAAAUGUGGAGAGAGAUUUUUGGGGAAAAAAAUAAAAAUAAAUGAAAUGAAAUUAAUCAAAAUCUCAACUCCCACUAACCCACUAACUAACCUAUCCCACUAAAACCAACAUCAAAUUCUCAUCCAACCACCUCAGAGUUUCCGUUCCAUCAAAUCUCUGUCACACAACCGAAAGAAAAAUUAUCAUUCUUGCUCACAUAGGGAUUUGAACAUGAGACCUCAAGGCAAGCUAACACCUUGCCACUCAAACUAGCAAGCUCAUUCUAAAAUGAUUUGACUAGCAAUAGAAUAUAAGCCAAACCGCCAAGGAGUAGGCUAGGAUUAAAAAAUAGCAAAAAUUCCCAAAAAUGAGACUUGAACCCAAGACCUCAAACACACACUCAAAUCACUUAACCACUAAAAAAAAUACAUAUUUAUGAUAAGAUUCGCAGAAACAAAGUUAAAUUAAUCAGGGCAUUACACUUACCCUCAACUCUACCCAAAUCAGUUUGGUUCCAUGCUCCCUUUCUCUAUUCGGUUAAUCAAUGCUCGGCUUCCAAUCAAGCUUACUUGGGAAUAUCCAAAAAGAUGUAGAUCAAUUUUAUCAUUUGCUUAAUUUUAUUUUUUAGAAAAUAAAAGAAAAGGAAAUGAAUAAUCUACAUGAUUCUGUAAAUGUUUGAAAACGAAAAAAAUUUAUUUUCAAUGUAAAGAAUUCAAUUCAUGUUUAGAUUUGGUUAAGGAUAUGAUUUUUUAUAUUGAUUAGUUAGAUCCAAUUUUAGUUUCAAAAUUAGGUUAUAUUCAAAUUGAGAUUUGAUUAAAAAUGAUUGAUAUUCGAUUUUCAGUGAAAUUCAAUUUUGAAAUCAUGUGAAAGAAACAAGGACUUAGUUUAUUUGGUGGGCAAAAACCAUGUUUCUGCAAUUAAGAAUAUGAGAAGAGAGAAAAUAAAUGGGAAGAAGAAAAGGAAAAUAAAGAAAUAAAAGAAAAAUUGAAUUGUUCAAAAAAAAAAGGAUAGAGACUAGUUUUAACAAAUGAAAAACAUAGAAAAACUACGUUAAAAAUGGAGAAGAGAGGAAAAUAAAGGGAGAAAGAGAAGAGAAUGGAAAGAAUAAAAGGAAGUUCAAAGAACAUAAAAAAAAAUUGCUCAAAAUGAAAAAAGUAUAAUAACUAAUUGUAUAAUUUAACCUAAAGUUUUUAUUUGAAAUUAUGAUUUAAUGUGCCACAUCAACUUACCAUUACACUAUUAACGAUAAUUAAUGGUCAGUGGCUAAAAUUCUACAAUACGAUAACGUAAGCAACUAAAAUUUUAAUUUUAAAUAUAAAUAACUAAAAUGUAACUUGAGACAAAUAAAAGUGAGUAUUUUAAUAGUUUAUGUUAAUGAUAAAUAUAACAAAAUUGUUUAAUUAUUAACCUCAUGAGUAUAUAUAUUAGAUUAGUGGCACAUAAUCCAAAAGACGUAUUUGGAGAGUAAUUGAACACAUAUAAAUACUAAGGUUGAAGUUUUUAAAGCUCACAACGAUUAAAUGUUUAUUUAAAAUGUUUUGAAACAUAAUACAAAUACAUGAAUAUAUCAAAAUACAUAACUUAUAAAAUUUAAACUUACUAAAUUUAUUUAAAAUAUAUAAAACCUUUAAAGCAGGAUUUGAAAUAUGAAAAACAUAAGAAAACAAAAUCGCAAGUUAUCAUGAAUUUGGGUGCCCUGGUAAUGCAAUUUCCUAGCUUCUGCCAGUAUACAGCUUGAAGGAUGAGGGCCGUACUUAGUUCACAGGAGAAUUACCACCUCCUGCAUCACAAGCAGGAUCAUGUUCAGGACAUGGAGUUGGUUUUCCUCCUCCUAGAUUUCUAUGUACCACUUCACUUCUCCUCUGAACUACAAUUAUAACCCCCAAAACAAAUAAAUAUUCAAAAGAAAAUCAGAAAGAGAUCAUAAAUAUAAGCAAUUAAGAAUAACUUUUCUAUAUAGUUUCAACUCGACUUACCGGUUACAGGAGUGCUUGUGGUUGAAGGAGGAAAGAGUAGUGAGAAUGAUAGCAGUAUGAGUAGUAUACAAAGCAUGAGGGAUAUCUUAUAGGCCAUGUUUGGUUGGUGAAAAACUGGUUUUCUGUGGUGAAGAUAAUGGGAGUAAUUAAUCAGACUUGGUUGUGAUUAUUUUGGAGGAGAAACAUCACUUUGGAACUCUAUCCUUUAAUCUAUCAAUUGACUGCUUACUCUUGCUAAAUAAGAUUUCCAAAGUUUGAUCGAAUUUGUUUAUUAUUGUUAUUUUGACAAUCCUCCAUGAAAAUUUAUUAGUCUUGUUUUCCUUAAUUAUUUAUUUGUUUCCAAAAUCAACCACAAAAGUUUAUUAUUUUAUCAGGUUUAAUAUAUCAUUUGAUACUUAAGUUUGAAACUUUUUUCUAAUACGGUACAUACGUUUUUUUUAUCUAAUUUGGUACAUAUAUUUGAUAAAAAUUAUACAUGUUGGUACUCAAAGGUAACGGUGUUAACUUUUUUAGUGUUUAAUUCAAGUUUUAAGGUUGUUUUGAUUAAAGUUAAUAGCUAAUAUUGUUAGGUUUGAAUUUUUCAUGAUUUUGAUAAUAAAAUAAAUUUAGUGUUAAUUGUGAAUUUGUUUAAUUUAUCAAAUAAAAUUUGAUGGAUGUGAUCAUUUAAUUCGGGUUUUAAGGUUGAUUUGAUGAAAGUUAAUUGCUAAUAAUAUUAGUUACUUAUGAAUUUCAUCAAAUCAACUCUAACACUUGAAUUAAACGCUAAAAAAUUAACGUUAUUACCUUUAGUACCAAAAUAUAUAAAUUUUGUGAAAUAAAAGUACCACAUUGCAAAAAUUUGUAUCAGCAAUUUUUAAAUUUUAAAAUCGAAUUUACUUAUUUAGAUAAAAAUAUUAAAAUUUUUCUAAAUUUAUGCGUAUUUUUAAGUGAGGAAUCACUAGUUCAAUUUCUCUUACCAAAUUCCACCUAAAAACUAAAAAAAGCUUUAACUUUAAAAAUCAUUUUUAUGUUAAAUUUUAUUUUAUUAAAAAUAUUCGUAAGUCUUUAAUCUAAUGAUAUGCAUAUUGGAUAUUUUUAUAUAAUUAUUUUAAAUUUGUAAAAUUCUAAUAAUUUAAUUUUUCUUAAAACAAUUACAAUUGCAAACAUUUUGAAUUGAUGGAUUCUAAAAUGCUAACAUUUUGUUUUGAUACAAUGCAUAAAAUUACCCGUAACUCUUCUGCAACAUUUAAAUAUGAAGAUAAACGCGUUUUAAUGCGCUGACAAGAUUACCAAUACCAACUAAAUUAAAACCCAAUCGGCAAAAUGCUAACUUGUUUAAAUAUUUAAAAUUUAGACUGACUUCAUCCAAAUAAUCACAUAACAUCACUUCCUUAACAUUCUCAUUAAAAAUAUUUUUAAAAAAAAAGUUUGUGUGAUAAACCUAAAAGGCUUUUAAGGAAAAAAAAAUCAGUUAAGCAUUUCAACUUAAUUUAAAAUUAAUUGAGUUCUUGCAGUUAAUCUAAAAAAUUAUUUAAAUCCAUCUGUUAAUAAUUUUCGUCUUUUACCUAAAAUUAGCUGACAAACAUGUGAGAACUCUGGAUUUAAUCUUUUAUUUUUAUCAUAAAAAUUAAAAAAAUUAGAAAUAUAAAAUUUAUAAUAAAAUUAUAAAAAUAUAAAAAACGUAAUUUUUUUUUACCAAUUGAGCUUUCAAUUAUAGGAUUGACGAAUUAACGAGCAAUGUCAGACACGGCCGUGCGACACGGCCAUGUGCACCCACACGCCUAAGGAACACGGGCCUACACUAAAUAUCAGACGCGCCCAAAUUCAAAAUUCGUGAAUCACACGGGCUGAAAUUGGGGAACAUGGGCGUGUUACUUGGCUGUGUGCCCCAAAAUCUAUAAAUACCCUGCACUAUUCAUUGUCUUCCCCACUCAAAAACCCUAACCCUAGCCGCUGCAAUUCCACACGGCCUCCUUGUCACGCUCGUGCGCAGCCUCCAACUCUAUUCUUGAUGCCCAUUCUCUUCUUUCUAGCGUUUGCUUACUCUUUUCUCAUUUAUUCUUACUAAUUUCUAGGGCCAUUUAUCAUAAUAAUAUGAAAUUUUUCUUGUUCCUUUCUUAUUUUUAUACAAAUGUUAUAUCUAGAAUAGUUAUUAUCUUUCUCAUGUUAAAAUUCUUACUCAUUGUAUGAUUUCUCUUAUUUAUUUGAUUAGUUAGAAGUAAAUAUUCAUGAUUAGAACAAUAUAUAUCACUACAGGAAAUACGGCUUUAGCGGCGUUUUUAGCGGCGUUUUAUAAAAAAACGCCACAAAAAUUAUACAUUAGCGUUGUUUUUGGUAAAGCGCCACUAAAAACAGAGUAAUAGCGGCGUUUUUGGCAAAGCGCCGCUAAAAACAUAGCAAUAGCGGCGUUUUUUGGCAAAGCGUAGCUAAAACCAGAGCAAUCGUGGCGUUUUUGGCAAAGCGCAGCUAAAAAACAAAGCAAUAGCGGCGUUUUUGGCAAAGUGCCGCUAAAAAUAGAGCAAUAGCGGCUUUUUUGGCGAAGCGCUGCUAAAAAAAGAGCAAUAGCGGCGUUUUUAGUAAAGCGCCGAGCGCCGCUAAAAACAGAACAAUAACGGCGUUUUUGGUAAAAUGCUGCUAAAAGUCAUAUAACCCCUAAAACCUUAAACCCCAAAAAAAUCAUAGACACUAGUCUAUAUAACUCCUAAAACCCUAAACCCAAAAAAACCUUAAACACUAAUCUAUAAUCCCUAAAACCCUAAACCCCAAAAACAUCAUAUGGAUGUUGAUAUGUAUAUACAUAGAUAUUAAUGUAAAAGCUUAUGUUCAUAAUAAAUUACGGAAGCAAUAGUUAAUAUUGAUUAAAUUUAUUUUUAGGUUUAAGGUUUAAUAUUUAAGAUUUAAGGUCUAUAAUUUAGGGUUUUAUGGUUUAAGGUUUAAUGGCCAUGGGUAAUAUGUUAAUCUCAAGUGAAUCAUAUUCAAUUAAAUCCUAAACCCUAUAAUUAAUAUAUAUUUAGGGGCAUAAGUAGGGGGUUGAAAGGGUCUUUGCCCUUCUAAAAUGAAAAAUUGUCCAUUUUGAUUUUUUGAAAUUUUUAAAAAUUUUAAAGGUAAAAUUACACUUCAUCCCUUUGAAUAAUGGAAAUUUUUUUAUUUAAUCGUUUCAAAAUUAUAAAAAUAUAUGCUAAACUUUAAUCGUUUAAAGUUUAGAUGAUAGGGGGUAAGGGUUAGAGGUUAAUGGGUAAAAGUUUAGGUUUUAUGUUUUAUGACUUAAGGUUAAGGGUUUAGAUUAAUGCUUUUAUUUUCAAAAAUAUUUAAUCUAAAUUAUUUGAUAUAUUUAAAUAUCAGAUUUUAAAAAAAUAUUGAUAAAUAAAUAAAAACAUUAAUAAUAAAUAAAAAUGAAAUAUAAAAAAAAAUAUAUAAAAUAGAUAUUAGUGGAUAAGCAAUAGCGACGUUUUUUAUAAAAACGCCACAAACAAUCAUUUUACUUAAAAACAAAAUGGCGCUUUUUUUUCCAAAUUCCCCCUCCUUCGAAACCCUAAAUUUUCCCCCUAAAAUUGGUAUACUCAAAACUCCCUUUUCACACACACCAUUUUCAUCAGUUUACCUUGGAACCCAUACGAUCCCUUCCCCUUUCCCUUUCACUUUGGUUUUGAAAAAACCCAAUUCUUAUAUUCAUUAUUCUGUUCUUAAUUUCGGUUUUGAUUUUUCUAUGUUCUUUCUUCAAAUUUUUAGACUCUCUGCAAAUUUUGAAGGACCUGCCUCUGGGCUCUGUACUUAAAUCCUAGUCUAAAGACAUGCAAGCAAGAAUGUAGAUUUUUGUUCAAACAGAUUCAAACAAUUAAAGAUACAAUGGAUUUGUAUUGCAGAAUGCGGAUUCAAGACAUGCAACUUGCAAGCAAGAAUCAAGAGUAUUUUUCAGGUACUUACUUGGAGUUUACGGUCUUUGCCUUUAUCGAUUUGGUCUUUGCCUCUUUGGAGUUUACGGUCUCUAAACUCUAAACCGAAAUAUGAUUGCUUUUAAGUUUCUUUUUUUUUGUAUGAUUUAGUGGAAUUAUAUAGUGGGGUGAAGUGAAAAACAAAAAAGAUUGGAACUUUGAGAAUGUUGCUUGAAUUGUCCUUUAUUUGCUGUGUUUUUUUUGUAAGUACAUAUAUCCUAAACUCGAUUUUGUGAACAUGAAGACUGAUUUCCUUAACCGAAAUGUCAAUGAAGGCUUCAGUGGAGGUGAAAGGAAGCGCAAUGAGAUUUUGCAGCUUGCGGUAAUAUGAUAUAAUGUCUUCUGUAAUUCAUUGUGGAAUUGUUUUGUCCUCAUUUGAUAGUUGCAGUGGAAUAUUCUUGUUUGAACUUAGAAUUGCUGUUCAUGGCUUACAUGCUAUUGCAGGAGCUAUUACUAUACACUAUUUUAAUAUUUUAGCUUUAUUAAUAAUUUUUAGAUAUGGAUGGAUGGCUAGGAUUAUAAGUUUUCCUUAGAGUUUUAAUAUAGGGCUAGGAUUUAAGUCUGGAAUCCUAGUAUAAAUUGGCUGUAAAUUAGAUUUACAGCCACCUUAUUAUUUUCUUUUAAUUAAUAGACUUAAGAAAUUAGAGGUUUUCAACCCUACGGUCUCCCCCCCCAGAAAUUAGAGCUUUUAGAAUCAAUUGCAGCAUGUAAGUUGCAGCCUUUUGUCAACUAACUAAAUAAUGAUGAUUGAAUUUUUUUAGCUAAAGAAUGACCAAUAACUUAAUAGACUAGUCCUGUUUUAGAAGGUAGAACUUGCUCGUUCUCUGUAUAUCUGUAUUGUAAUAGUCAUAUGAGCUCUUUUGAGUUUGGCAGCAACUAAUUGAACUUGGAUGGGGCACUUUCAUCAUUACAUGAGCAAAGUUAUUUUUGACUUGUACAAUACCAUUAUAACAGCCAUGAACUGGAAUUACAUGUGAUAUUAGUAACUUGUACCAGCCCUUAAGGCUUCGACUUUACUUAAAACAGGAAUUACAUGUGAUCUUUGGCAAUUUUGCCCAGUAGAAUUACGCUAAUUUUAUGGUUCUAUCUUUAAUUAAUGCAGGACUGAGCAAUACUUCCUUUACAGGUCAGUUUCCUGUUUCUCUGUCAUGAAUGGAUGUAUUUAUUGGAAUAUGGGACUAAGUAACUUAAUACAAAGAUGUUAUGCCUUAUAUCAUUUAGGUGUCAACUUUAUUUUAACGGAUGUUAUGCCUUAUAUGAUGCUAUAUGAGACAAAUAUAUUCCAUAGUUUUUCUUAUCCUUCUGUUUUUGUGCCGUUAUACUCUCUAAUCACAUGAUUUCCCUAAGCCAACCCCGUCAAUAAUGAUUGGUUGCUGAUGUAACAAUGUUUGAUUGCUAAUCACAUGAUUUUCACUUUUGUUUUCUCUUCAAAGUCUGCUGUUAAGUUUACAGUGAGCCAGUUAACUGCAUUUCUUUUUUCAUUUUUUACAACUUUUUCUGACCAACAAUUUAUUUGUUACAUAUAUGUUUUAUUUUAUUUUAAUCGUUAGUUGUAUGUCACUUCUAGGAUAAGCCAAAAUAAAGUGAAGAACUCAUUGUUUCCAAUUAAAAUUUUCUGACAUCUGCCACAAAUUUUAUGAAGCUUUCUUACGGAAACAUUAAAUAUUUUGGCCAAAUCCAUGGCCGCCAAUUAAAUUCACUCUUAAAUGGAAGAUGAUUUGAAAAAAAAGAAAACAAGCAAGCAAACAAACAAAUUAAUUCUUUUGCGAAUAUUGGAUCCAAACAAAUAGAAUUUCUUUUCUCAUGGAGUACCGGUAUUUUCUCGGAUUCUUUCUUCUUCUUUUGAUCAAUUUUACUUUGGUUUCGGCUGAGAUUAAUGGAUCGGUGCUUAAAAUGAGAGGAGGAACUUCUUCUGUUCAAUUUGAUCCCACUUCUGUUACCCAACUCUCAUGGCGCCCCAGGUAACUUCAAAUUCCAAUCCUUUUUGCAGUUCAGCUUAUUCAAAACUUUAAAAUUUACGAUUUUUUUUCUUGAAGGGCUUUUAUUUACAAUGGAUUUUUAUCAAGUGAGGAAUGUGAUCACCUUAUUUUUCUGGUAAGCAACCAUUUUUCUCUUUUGUUGUUGAAGAAUUUCAACAUAUAAAAAAAGAAAUUGUAUUAAUUUCAGGCUAAGGAUAAGUUAGAGAAGUCAAUGGUGGCAGAUGAUGUAUCAGGCCAGAGUAUUGAAAGUGAAGUUUGAACCAGCUCCGGCAUGUUUCUUAAGAAAGCUCUGGUAUAUAAAUGAAUUGUCUUUCAUUCCUUUUUUUAGCUUAAAGCUGUGAAAUUACUAGAAUUUAUGUUAAUUUAAGAGAGGAAUGCUGAAUUUAUGAGUCGAGUUGUUGAAUUUAGAAGUAAAAUGAAUUGAUCUAUUAUCCAUAUGAUCUUGUUUUUAUGUAAUUUUAUGCAAUCUUAUUCUUGCUUUGUUUAAGAAAGGAUGAAGCAUCUAGCUGUUUAUAAUUAUGUCAUUGUAUCAGUACUUUCAUGCUUUUUUUCCCUUCUGUGGGAUACUGAUCAUAGCUGUUUGAGAUUGUUCUAUUUUUGAGAACAUGUAUUUGAUAUAGACUGACUAUAUGAACUGAAAUUUGCGUGGUGCUUGUGAGAUUUUAAUCACUUGAAUGGUACAUCAUCUGAUAUUUGGUCUUGCGGAGUUAUUCUUUUUGUUCUCAUGGCUGGUUAUUUGCCUUUUGAUGAGCCAAGCCUUAUAGGCUUGUAUAAGAAAGUAAGUACUCUCCAGAUUUGGCCAGUCUUGCUGUCCAUCAUGGUUUUCAUCUGGUGCUAGGAAUUUGAUUAAGCGUAUUCUUGAUCCAAACCCUCUUACCGUAAGUUUCAAAUUCAAUUCAUCCUAUGAAAAUUUGUGAUUACAUGCAAUCUUUGAUCAAAAUAUAAGCUUUAGCGCGUGCAUUUUGGUUGAAAUUCUGUAUGUUCUUUUUUGCAGUGUAUAACUAUUCCUGAAAUUCUACAAGAUGAAUGGUUCAAGAAAGGGUACAAGCCACCAAAAUUUGAGCAAGAUGAGGAUGUAAAUCUUGAUGAUAAUAUCUUAUAUUUUACAUAGUUAUGAUAUCUUUAUAUUUAAUCUAAUUUUUAUUAUUUAUUUUAGUUUUGAUUAUAAAUUUUUAUUUUUAUUUUAAUAUUUUUAGUUAAAAUUUUAAUAGAAAAUUUUAUUCUUCUCUAUAUUUUGAUAAUGAAUUUUAAUUUUUUUAUAUUUUUCAUGAUUUUUAUAAUAUUUUAUUUUUUUUUAAAUUUUAGUACCUUUAGCGGCGUUUUUGGGUAAAGCGCCGCUAAAGGCUAUGCCCUUUAACGACGUUUGCGAAAAAAGCGUCACUAAAGGUCAUGACCUUUAGCGGCGUUUUUUUAAAUAAAUGCCACAAACUUUAAUGGCGUCAUCUAUAGCGGCGUUUUUUGCGGCGCUUGUGAAAACGCCACAAAUAGUUUUAGCGGCGCUUUUAGACCUUAAAAAACGCUGUUAAAAGUCAAUUUUGCUGCAGUGUAUGCUCAUGCCUUUAGUGUUAACUUUUUUUCAUCUGUUACACAUAUUGCAUUCCAUGAAAUUCUUUACCAUUUUUAUGCCAUACAAUUGAUUGCUUUGAUUAACUUGUUAGUCUUAGUAGUUGUUGAAAUUAUAAUUGUUAUUUACAAAUUAUCUUCAUUUUACUUUGAUUAUUCCUCAAAAUGAAUUAAUGGUUUUUGAUCGCAGGUACCAUGUUGUCUUCACGAGGAAAGAAAACCGCCGUACCUGCUUCGAAGAAGAGGAAGGGAGCAUCAUCUUUCACGAGUCCAACCACGAAAAUUCGUCACCCUCUCCUGCAGUUCCCCCGAGGGCCCCAAGAAGAGCUUUUCCAAAUACUUUGGGCCUGACCUUUAAUUGCGGGCCACUGCAUCGAUUGGGCUGCCGUAGAACAAGUUCUGUUGGCUGAUACGAUUCAGGCCCUCCUAACCACUGACCCUUGGGAGCUGUUCUUUGGGAUCAUCGAACCAACAUUCCUUGAGCUCGCGAUGGAACUAUGCUUAACGUUCCAUCUUCAGACUGUAAUGAUGAAUUACGAUGAUCCCGGCACGGUCCAAUUUCGCCUACGCGGGUUAGUCUGCCAGCUAAGCAUCCCAGAGUUCAAUGCUGCACUGGGCUUAUAUACGGAGGAGUUCAAGGAGGAGAAUGAACUACAUGCUCUCACUCUCCACAUACAUUUCUCUCCCUCAAAGUGCUGGCACACUUUGGCCCCUGGCGCAGCCUCCUACAAUCCUAGCUACUCUAAGGCAUCAGUUCUCCCACCAUCCCAGAGGUACCUACACGCCAUUUUGGCCUACACGAUUACAGGGAGGCGAGAGAGCACUAGCGUCGUCAACACUCAAGAUGCCUACUUCUUAUGGUGUAUGUCACACGGCCACGUCAUCGACCUUGCCUAUUUCAUCGCCCUCGUGAUUCAGCACUAGACGGAGCGGCAUAGGAAAGGGGUCAUCUCCAUUGGCCCUUAUGUUACUCAGUUGGCUCGACACUUCGGGCUCCUCAGCCCCGUGGCCCAAGAAUCAUCCCUUACCCUCAUCGACCAGAUGUCUCCACAAGGCAUCUCGAGUAUGUUUAGCAUGAGGAUGAUCGAGAGGCGCCGAGGAACCUACCCUCCCCAAUAUCGUCUUGCCCAAUCUACUGAGAAGGAAGCCUACAAGGACAUUCCUGAUGAUGUCUCUCCACAGCACGAGGACCCACCGACUCAGCCACCACCACCUUCUCGUUCAGUUCAUACGGCGGCUUCAUAUGCUGACAUCUCUAAGUGCCUCACUAGAUUCGAGCAAUAGUGUUUUCAACGAUUUGACAACAUUGAUGCUACUCUACAGCAGAUUUGUCAGCACCUCCACAUCUCAUCGCCAAACUCACCUCGCGAACCAUCCAGCGAUGAACAUGUUUAAAAACAUUUAUUUAUUAUUUUAUGUUUUUAAUUUUUAUUAAAACUAAUUUUUAUUUUUAUUAUUAGAUUUUAAAAUUUUACUUUUAAUUAUCAAUUUCAGUUAUUUCUUUAUGAGUAAUUAUUCUUCCUAAUAUCCCCUAAAAAGUUCUUGAUUUUAUCACAGUUAUAUAGAGCUCUUAAGCUCAUCAUUGCAUAGGAACUAACAACUCCACCGGGAAAGGUUCUUCACGACUGCCAUGUCCUGAUCGACCAUGACCAUAGCUACCACUAGAUAUAAUAUUCUUUUGGCACAGGACUUAUGGACUAAUAAACCUCUACGACCGCUAGAGUAUCCUCAUCCACUCUCGAACCGAUUACUCUCCAAAACUCCAGUUCGAGGAAUUCAUCAUACAAGAAGUUUCACUUCUCUCCCUAUCUUAUUUUUAUACUCUAAUAUCUAUCUUUGUACAUUGAGGGCAAUGUAAAUCUUAAGUGUGGGGGCGUAUUUAUUUAAUUAUCAGAAAAAUCCCUGAAUAAUUACCUUGUUCUUUUGAAAAGCUCUCAUAUCAUAUUUAGGAUAAAUUUUGAUUGAUUUUUUAUUUUUGUAGAUAUAUCUUGAAUUAAAACAUAUGCAUUUAUUCAUUGAUUGUUUAAACUUUAAGACAUUAGAGAAUCAAGCAUGAUAAGUUGAUUUUUAAGAAUUUAAAAUCUUAGGUUGUUUCCCCAAAGUUUAGGUAUUACUUUGAGUUGGAAUUGACAAGUUUUAAACAUCAAAAAGUCAUAAUUUUUCUGAUAUUUUUGAGCCUUUUGAGCAUUUAUUAAUUCUUUCAUGCUCACUUUUAUUAUUGCUUUGAGUGCGUCAGUAUUGAACUGUUAUUCUAGAAUUUACUUGAUUAUGCAUGUCGAGACCACACCAUUUGAUUUGAUAUGUCAAAAUGAUUAAGGCAUUAGGAUUAACCCACUCAUGCCAUGAAAAGCCUACCUCCACGAUUAACCCCUAGUAAACCCCCUUGAGCCUAACAAGCCAUUGCUUGUAUUACUCUUAAUAUUAACCUUUAACCCAUUAUUGUUGAAAUCCCCUAAAUUAAUCUCUAUUUUGUCAAGAUUUGAGUUGAAUAAAUUGUUUAGCUAUGUCUUGUUCUUAAUAGUUAGUCUAUGUUAUUUAACUUGUUUUUAAAAAAAAAACUAUGUAUAUACAUUAGUAAUUCCAUAUUCUGAGAAGAAGCUCUGUUGUACGUAAGUGAUGAUUAACUCUUUUUCUAGUUAGGUAAUUUUUCAAUUCAAUCUCGAUUCUAGCCCUUUCUUUUAGCUUGUGACCACACCCCCUAACCAAGUCUCAUUACAAUCCCCUAAAGACCUUUUGAUUGAUGUUUCAUCUCAAUUUAUCAGUUGUGGAGAUUUGAUUUUCAUGCAAGCCUAUGGUAAUGACUUUUCAGUAUUGACUAUUGAGUGCUUCAUUUAUUGUCCUUAAAACACCUCGAGUCAUUUGAGUGAAUCUUUAGUGAGGAUGUGAAACUCUGUGAUAUUCCGAAUCAAAGGUAAUUACUUAAAUGAGGAGAGACGCCUAUGUUUUCAAGAGAAAAUGUUGAACUUGGAAUGUUUAAAACUUUUAUGUUCUUUUAGUUGAAUUCUCAAUGUAUGAUUACCUAUGAAUUAUUUUGAGAUAUUAUUGGUAGAAAUUAUAAAUUGAGAAGAAUUGAUUCUGAUUAUGAGUUGAGAAUUUUGCUUGAGGACAAGCAAAUGCUUAAGUGUGGGGGUGUUUGAUAAACCGUAAUUUAUACAUAUUUUUACCCUAUGUUUAAUGCAUUUUAUGGAUGAUUUCCUAUUAGAAUUGGUGAAUUCGAUGCUCUUAAUACUUUAAUUUCAUGUUUUAUACUUAGGAGAGCAUAAGAGAGCGAAAGGAACGAGAAACGGGCCAAAACUAGAGAAAAUGGUCCAAAGUACGAAAUCAACACGGCCUGGACCUCCUCACACAGGCAGACCAUCACGGCCUGUCAAUUUGGCAGGCUCAAGCACGGCCUGAAGUAAUCGCACAUGGGCGUGUCCCUGCUGAGCCCAAGUUGAGUCCAAUCGAAAAAGGCUAAUUUUUGGGGCUCUUAGGCAUUCCAAAGCUUAUAAAUACACCCUAGAGGAGGAAGAAAAGGGAGGCACAGAAUAGCGAGUAAGGAAUUACUCCAAGGAAGCAGAUUGAUCCAUCUCAGAAGCCGGAUUCACCAUAAAGACUGAAGAUCUCUCCUCAAUUUCCUUUUCAGGAGUUUUGGGUUUUCUUUAUGUUUUUUAUUCUUUAUUAUUCUGAGAUGUUUUCUUAUUUAGUUAUGAAUUAAAACCCCUAAAUACCUAAAGGGAAUGAAACCUAAGACAAAUCUUGUUAUUAUUUUCUGAAUUGAAUGAUAAAUAUUUAACUUGUUCUGAAUUAUGUGUUGUUAAUUCUUGUUUUGAUAUCCCAGGAUACUAAUUCAAGAUAAGCUCUUAUUCAGAGGAGGAAUAGACCCUGUCUAAGAGUACAUUUGUUAUAAUUAAGCAGAGUUGAUUGCGCGCCUAGACAUAGGGUGACAAGAUUUUACCGGAUUAGGGUGAAACCUAAUAAGGGGAUCCAUAGAUCGAGUUAAUGCAACCCUAAAGUGUUAAUUAGAGAAAAGUCUCAACUAUUCAAUCUAGGGAUUAGAUGUUAGUAGUCUUGAACAGGGAUAAUAACAUAACUUAGGGAUCUCUACGGAACAAGUUAAAUGAAUAAAUAGUCCGAUUCGGAGCCAGAAUAACAAGUACAGUCUAGGUGGAUUUUUCCUUAGGUAUUGUCUUAAUUCAAUCGAUUUUCCCAAAAACAAUUCCCCAAUUGUAUUCUCUGUGAGUUCUUAGUUUAGAUAAUUAGUUAGUUAAACAAAAACCUCUUUAUUCUUAGGCUAGAUAAUAAAAAGACAGUCAUUACUAGUACUUUUAGUUCCUUUGGGUUUGACAAUCCUGUCUUGCUAAAACUAUAAUACUGUUCGAUAGGUACACUUCCAUACAUCGUGAUAAUAGUUAGUUUCAAAAACAAUUAAUUAUAAAUAUUUAAAACCUAUCACAAAAUCACGCGAUCAAAAUGCUGCCAUGCAUGGGUUGGUCAACUCGAGAGUGAAGAUUGAUUUUUAGACUCCGGUUGCAUCAACCACAUGUGUAAUAGAAAAAAACAUUUUGUAGACUUCAAUAAGCAAUUUGUAGACAAUGUGAAGCUAGGAAAUGAUGCUACCUUGGUGGUGAAAGGUAAAGGGAAUGUGCGUCUACAUAUCAACAAUCAAAUACAGGUAAUAACAAAAGUUUUUUAUGUGUUUGAUUUGAAAAAUAAUUUGUUAAGUGUUGGUUAGCUUCAAGAGAAGGGCUUAGCUGUGCUUAUUCAACACAACAACUGCAAGGUUUAUCAUCCUGAAAAGGGUGUUAUCAUGAAAUCUGUGAUGUCUUCAAAUCGCAUGUUCAAAAUUGCAACAUUGUCUCUACCAUCUGGUACAACUUGCUUCAAUACAAUAACUGAAGAAUUUGGCCAAUUAUGGCAUUGCCGUUAUGGUCAUCUGAGUUUCAACGGACUCAGCACUCUACAGCAAAAGGAAAUGGUUUUUGGUCUACCACAGUUGACAAAACCAUCAAGAGUGUACAAGGAAUGUCUGAAUGGAAAGCAAUAAUGAGAUCCUUUUCCUAAAAAGAGUUCAUGGGGAGCUGAGCUACCACUGCAAUUGAUUCAUUCUGAUUUAUGUGGCCCUAUUCAACCAAUGUCUAACAGCAACAAGAGGUACUUCAUCACUUUCAUUGAUGAUUAUAGUAGAAAGACAUGGUUCUAUUUUUUACAUGAGAAAGUAGAAGCAUUUAAAUUCUUCAAAGAAUUUAAAGCUAAGGUCGAACUUGAAUCGGGUCGGCAAAUUAAGUGUCUCCAAAUAGAUUGUAGCGAUGAAUUUACUUCAUUAGAAUUUUCAAAUUUUUGUGAUGAAAAUGGGAUAAAAAGGCAGCUUACUACUCUAUAUUCACCAUAGCAAAAUGGUGUUGCCGAGCGAAAAAAUUGUACCAUUAUGAAAUGGUUCAAAGCAUGAUGAUCGCAAAAGGUAUCCCCAAAACUUUCUGGCUGGAAGCUGUCAAUUAGGCAGUACAUCUUCUCAAUAGAAGUCCGACAAUAGUAGUGCAGAACAAGACGCCAGAAGAAGCUUGGAGUGGUGAAAAACCUUCUAUGGGAUAUUUCAGGGUCUUUGGAUGUGUGGCUUACGUGCAUGUGGGAGAUAAAUUCUAAACUAAAUUGGAUCAACGUAGUGUAACCUGCGUUUUAUUGGGAGUUAGUGAAGAAUUAAAGGCGUAUCGACCCUAUAAUCCAAACAAUGGAAAGAUAAUUAUUAGUCGAGAUGUUGUAUUUGAAAAGGACAGAAGUUAGAAUUGGGGAGAAGGAUUCACAAGCUCAAUUCAAUCUGAGUUGGAUUGGAAUGCCAGUAAAAGUAAUCUGAAAUGGAUGAUGAUCAGGAGGAGAAUGAAAUAGAGGAAGAUAUUGAUGACAAUUAUGAUGAAGUUGCUAAGCAAUAAGAAGCCUAAGGACAACAACAUUUAAAAAGGCAACACAAUAAACCUUCUUGGAUGCGAGAUUAUGUGACGGGUGAAGGGCUGUUUGAUGAUGAUUUUGAAUCACACCUUACUAUUAGCAAAGGAGAUGACCCUGUUCACUUUGAAUAAGGCGAAAAGAAUCCAAUUUGGAGGAAAGACAUGAAGGAAGAAAUUGAAGCUAUAGAAAGAAAUGGAACAUGGGAUUUAACUGAGCUUUCAGGCGGUGUUAAAAAUAUUGGAGUCAAGUGGAUCUUCAAAACUAAACAUGAUGAGAAUGGAGAUGUCAGUAAGCAUAAAGCACGGUUGGUGGUUCGUGGAUAUACUCAAGAAUAUGGUAUAGAUUACACGGAGGUGUUAGCUCCUGUAGCUCACAUGAAGACUAUUCGAUUGGUCAUUGCCAUAGCUGCUCAUCAUGGAUGGUCCAUUUACCAAUUGAAUGUCAAAUCUUUUUUCUUCCAUGGAGAAUUAACUGAAGAUGUUUUUGUUGAACAACCACAAGGGUUCGAGAAAAGAGGAAGAAGGAAAAGUAUACAAGCUGAAGCAUGCUUUAUAUGGCUUAAAACAGGCUCCUCGAGCUUGGUACAGUUGUAUUGAAGGAUAUUUUCUUAGCCAUGGAUUUGAAAAGUGAGUAUGAACCCACCCUAUUCACUAUGAUGGAGAAAAAGAGUGUUAAGAUAGUAAGCUUGUAUGUAGAUGAUUUGAUUUAUACAGGAAUAAUGAUGAGUUGAUGAUGGAGUUCAAGAGGUCAAUGAAGAUAGAAUUUGCUAUGGCUGAUAUGGGAAAAAUGAAGUACUUCCUCGAUCUUGAAGUAGCAUAGAAAGUUGAUGGUAUUUUUGUGUGCCAAAAAAAGUACAUGAUAGAUCUUCUAGAGAGAUUCAGAAUGAGCAACUCAAAAUCAGUUCAUAAUCCAAUGGUUUCAGGAAGUAAAUUAAGCAAAGAUGAAGAUGGAAAAGGAGUUGACAAGACACUCUACAAGUAGAUGGUCGAAAGUCUAAUGUACGUAACUACUAUACGGCCAGACAUCAUGUAUAGUGUGAGUCAAGUGAGUCGUUUUAUGGAAAAUCCAAAAGAGCUUCAUUUUUCAGCAGUAAAGCAAAUCAUACGCUAUCUUAAAGGAACUUGUGAAUUUGGAUUGUUCUAUCAGAGAAAUGGAGGGAAGGAUCUAAUGGGUUAAACAGAUAGUGAUUAUGUUAAUGACGUCGAAGACAAAAAAAGUACAUCAGGCUAUGUAUUCAUGUUGAGUGAGGCUACUAUCUCACGGAGUUUGAAGAAGCAGCCAAUGGUGAGUCUAUCAACAACUGAAGCAAAAUUUAUAGAAGCAACAAGCUCAUGUCAAGCUGUGUGGCUCAGACGGAUACUUGAGGCAAUGGGAAGAAAUCAAACAAGUCCUACGAUAAUAUAUUGUGACAAUAGUUCUGCCAUAAAGUUAUCAAAGAAUCCAAUUAUGUAUGGGAUAAGUAAACACAUUGAUGUACGGUUUCAUUUUCUAAGAGAUCUUACAAGGAAUGAAACAAUUGUGCUGCAACACUGUAAUUCUCAAGAACAAGUAGCUGAUGUCAUGACCAAGCCACUCAAGUUGGAAGAUUUUGUUCGAAUGCGAAGCAAGUUAAGAGUUGUAGCAAAUGUAAACUAAAUGUUUGGGAUAAUUCAGUUUAAUGGUGGGAGUAUUAGAUAUGUUUGAAUAAGUCUCCAAUUGUUACUGGAGGUUGUUAGCUAUUUUCUUGUUUCUAGUUGUUAGCUGCUUCCUUAUUCUUAGUUGAGUAGUUGCUAAAAAUCAGCAAAGUAUUUUGCUGUUGUUUGUUAGUAAGCUUGACUAUAUAUAUAUGUGUGUCAAGAACAUGAAUAAAACGUAGUAGUACUUUCAAUCAAAUACUUUAGCACAUGUUUUUCUUUCUAAUAAUGCCAACCAUGUCUGGUGGCAGUUAAUUGGGUUAUAUGGUUUCCCUGAAUCGUCAGGGAAGAUUUCUAGUUGAGAAUUGUUACGGUCAUUGGCUCAACGCACUUUGCUUCCUUGGGUAAGUAUUGGUGACUUCAAUAACUUACUCUCUGUUAAUGAUAAAUGGGGUGGCCUGAAAUAUCCGACUAGGUAGUUGAAUGGGAAUCAGGACUAUAUUGUGGACUAUCACCUUAUUGAGGUUCCUCUGGUUGAAUCGGGAUUUACUUGGGAAAGGGGUCAAGGCAUUGAUUUGUUUGUAUUUGAGUGGUUGGACAGAGCAUUCGUUAAUUUGGCUUGGAUGCAGUUAUUUUACUAUUUUAAGUUGCAUAAUUUGUUUAGAGUAUGUCUGACCAUAAUAUGGUUCUCCUUGUUGGCAAAACUUCGCUCCCAAUGCGAGGUAUGAGGCGAUUUAGGUUUGAAAACUCUUGGCUUUGUAAAAGGAUUCGAUAGUGUGGUGUAGGGGCGUUGAGUUGGAGUAGUUUAGAUUUGGAAGGUAUUGAUGAGCGACUGUGUGCCUGUAGUGAGGCGUUUUAGGUUUGGCAUCAAUCGGUUGGGUCCAACUUCAAGCCUUAUAUUGAUGAUCUUAAGAGGCAUAUUGUAGUUAUAAAAGCUUGUUGGGUAAAUGAUCGGUCUAUAAUUGAGUUGGUUCCAAUUGAAUUGGCAAUCUAUUGGCGCCAAAAGGCUAAGGUUUUAUGGUUGAGCCAUGGAGAGGUGAAACACUAAGUAUUUCCAUACCCAAGCUUUGAAACGUGGCUGGUUUAAUCAUCUAUCUAUGUUUCUGGAUGAGGUGGGUCAGCCUUAAACUAGCGAUGAUGGUAUGUGCGCAAUUGUAGAGGGUUAUUUUUUGGAACUAUUCUUCUGUUUCCUUUUUUUGUUCGUUACAAUUCUUUACACGACUUUAUAUUUAUGGUUUUUACUUUCUGAUUUUUCCAUUCAUUCUCCUUGUAAUUGUUAUCACACCAUUUCUAAUUUGUGUUGCUUAGUAUGGCACAUUGAAGAUACCGUACCGAGAUGGCUGUUUUUGUUAUUACUAUGAAGCAUAAAAAAUUAUGCAAGUUAAUACAAUCUUAAAAGCGAAUCAACGAGUGUUGUUCUACUUUUUUAUAGGAACUGAAUGUCUAAUAAACCUCACAAGAUUUUUGUGCAUUACUAAGUCCCCCAAGUCUUGAAUAUCUCUAUAAAAAAUUCACUUAUAUGGUAUCAAUUAAGGUGACAGUUUACAUAAUUUAUAGGUUUUUUUUUUUGUAAAUAUGUUUUUAUAUAUUUUUAUAAACUAUCAAGUACUUUUCUUCUCUUCUCAUUUUUUAUCAUUCAAACUUAAUAAAAAUUAUUUUCUCCCUCUGAAAUCGUAUAACAUUUCAGCAACAAGGCGCCGUCAUUUAGCUAGUAGUCAAACUAUAUUUUAUCACAUAAUAAUUAAAAUUAAUUAAUAAUUAUUAAUGGGAAAUAUAACAAAUUUGUUUAAUUAUUAACCUAAGAGUAUAUAUAAAAGAUUAGUGACAUAUAAUCCAAAAUGCGUAUUUUGGAGAUUAAUUGAACACAUAUAAAUAUUAAGGUUGAAGCCUUUAAAGCUCAUAUUCAUACAUUACAACCAUUAAAUAUUUUAAACAUAAUAUAAAUACAUGAAUAUAUCAAAAUACACAUCAUAUAAAAUUUUAACCUCCUAAAUUUAUUUGAAAUAUAUAAAGCUUUUCUAAGCAGGAUUGGAAAAAUGAAAACCGUAAGAAUACAAAAUCACAAGUAAUCAUAACUAAUAACCAUUCAUUUGGGUUGCCCUGGUAACACAAUUUCCUUCUGGCUACCAACAGUGAGGAGGGCAUGUCUUACUUUUACCACCACUUGGAUGACAACCAGGAUCACGUGGAGGACAUGAAGGUGGUUUUCCUCCACCUAGAUUUCUAUGUAUCACUUCAUUCCUCUCCUUCACUGCAAUUUUAACCCCAAAUACCAACACAUCGUAUUCAAUAAAAAGAAAAAAAACAAUAAAAAAGAGAUCAUAAAACUAAGUAAUGAAGAAUAAGUUCUAUAUAUAGUUCUAAUUCAACUUACCUGUUAAGUGAGUGUUUGUUGUUGAAGAUGGAGGGCAGAGUAGAGAAAAUGAUAGCAGUAGGACUAGUAUCAAAUGGACCGCUGAUUUCUUGUAGAGCAUCUUUCGUUCCUCAGAAUCUGAUUUUUGUGCUGAUGUUUAUGUUUGCUUCAUCCGACUUUAUUUAUUUUGGAGGAGAAACAAGACUUUGGAAGUCAAUUAGUUUUAUUAUUAUUAUUAUUGACAAUUCCUCGUUAAAAAGUCAUUGGUUUUAUUUUACUGAUUUGUUUAUUUGCUUCCAAAAUCAAACUCAAAGGCUUAUUAUUUGUAUUCAUAAAAACAAAAACAAAGUUUAUUACUACUUAAUAUUAUUGGUGCAAUGGUAAAAUACAUUUCAUUCUUAAGGAAAAACAUGAGUUCAAAUUUUAAAAAGAAUAUUAAUAAAAAAGACAACCACAAAUUUCAAAUAUCAACCCUAAAACUGAAAUAAAAUAAUAUUAAAUUAAAGUUUUAAUUAUAUUUAUAUUUUAUUAAUAAAUAAAAAGAAGCUACUUUAAAAGUCAAGAUUAAAAUAUUAAAAUUAGUUGAAGAAGAUUUUAAUGGUAACUUGUUUAAUAGAUUUUAUUCUCUUGGCAGUAAUAUAAUGCUUAUAUUGACAAAGAAUCCUAUUCAUGUUUUUAAUGGUUACUUAAGAUAAUUUUUAUUGAAAUAUCUAUAAAAUUUAUUGAAAUAAUAACUUAACUUAUAUACUUUUUAUCUAAUAAAAUAUAGUUAAUAAGCAAGUCUAUGUGUUAUGCGAACCUAUGUGAUGUGUGAACCUUAGGCUCAUGUGAGCUUUUAUGUUAUGCCAACUUUGUAUAUGUGCUAAAUAGCUACACCUGUUUAUUUAUAUAAAAAUCCUAUAUAUAUAUAUAUAUGAUGUAACACUUCAAACUCAGCCUAGACAUUAGGAUCAAGUCUGAAAAGGUACAUUAACAUUAUUAGGAAAACCAACUUUUAUAAACACAGUUAAAAAAAUGUCUAGCAGAUUAUAACAUUCCUAAAAACCUAGUCAAUAAUUCAACAAUCUUCGAAAGUUCUAAUACGAAUAAAACAUUGAAUUACAGGUAACAUAAAAAGUGAUAAAGCAGAAUGACCGAGCUUCCAUUACGCCGACCUGAUCAAGACUGUGAGUUACCUAUAAUUCCAUCAACAGACAAAAUGAGUUGAUAACUCAGUGUGUAACUGAUAUAAAUUCAAUUAGAAGCAUAAAUAUAAUAGUAUUUUCCUAAUCUCAUGUUCAAAUCAGAAUAAGAGGAUAUCCAGUAUAGUAUUAACCAAUCAAAGGAAUAUCAGAGCAAUUCAAGUUCAAAUACAAAAUAGAUCAGAAAUAGAUGCAGUUUUUCCUACCCCAUCUGAUACACACCAUCUCCGACCAACCCAACACACCAUUAAGGGAAUUUAAUACCCAUUUAACCCUACACACCACAUAGUGUCGGUUCAACACGUUGAACAUGAUUGUAGACUAGCUGUCAGAUCAAAUUGUGAUAAGAUACCAAAUUCACAUAUAAAUUGUGGCUUAGCCACUAAACCAGAACAAAGCACUUCCUCCUUUACACAAUUCCAACCCAAUGCAAAUGCAAAUUACAGAUGUCAGAUAUCAAGGACGUAUACACAGUUAAGCAAAUACAAUUCAUAGUCAGGUAGUAUAGAUCAAUAUCAUCAACAGUCAUCACAAUUAGUAUACAUUUAGAUAGUCAAUUAUUUAGUCUCAUAUCAUUAGAUAGCAAUUUAUACGGUAUAAUUCAGGUUAUAUGUACACUAUAGAGGCCUACACUCGCGUCAGACGAUGCUUACGACCCCAAGGAUAAAUCUCAUUUCUAGCCCACACGUCAUGUGAGUUCACACGGCCUAAAUGACUGGCUUGUAUGGCUCUACACAGCCUGGCACACACCCGUGUUGUCUACCCGUGUAGUCCUAAAUCAUGAAAAGUGAGUCAAAUGACCUAGACACACAUCUGUGUGGUCCUUAAUGACAAACAGUGAGUCACACGGCCUAGACACACAUCCGUGUCUCUGGCCCGUGUGGUCUUUAAUGAAAAACAGUGAGUCACACAGCCUGCCACACGACUUAACACACGGCCUUGUGACACACAUGACCUACCACACGGUCGUGUGGCAUCGACAGACGUGGUUUCCAGCGUCUGAAUUUUGUAGAGUCAAAUUUUUGGUACGCACCUAAUGUAGUUUUUGGCGUAGGAGCAAUACAGAGGAACCCCGAAGCCUAAAACGACCAUCCAAUAACCAAUUCAAAAACUAUUCUUAAUGAACACAAGAAUUAAUGUAUAAAACAAACUCUUAUGUCGAAAAAAUUUGACACAACUUGCCCACUCGGAUUUCAACACUCACCUUGCAGGAAAUUGCAAAAAUGGAACUAACGUGUUGGUGAAACAAUUCUCGCAAGAUCCUUGCCUAAAAAGAAAGUCAAACGUACGCUUAAAAUAGAAAAUUUAAGUAGCAAAAUAAUUUCAACCAAAGAACAAAAACAACCAAAAACUCGUAGGAAUGAAAAGAAUUUACGAUAGAACUUACACAGAAAUCUUUCAACGACGCAACGAACAACGCAAGACUCUCAAUUGGUCCUGUUAGACACUUUUUAGACGUAUCAAAAAGAAAAAAUAAAAAGAAAUAAGAAUGAAAAGGGGAAGGAAAGAAGAGAAAGGAAGGAGAAUGGAAAAGGGAAAAGAGAGAGAAAAACGCUAAAUUCUAUUUUAACUACCAAUAAGAUUUCUAACAUUUAGCAAAAAUAUUCCUUAACGCAUACACCAGGACUCAAACAUAAGAUCAAGUGGAAUACGAAAGCUUAACCAGUGAAUCAGCAGACUUGUUCUUGACACCGAUUCACACAUAAUUAAACCUUUGUUGAUAGUUUAAGGAUAAAGGUUAACUUAGAAUAAAAUAGCAAAAUUUUCCAAAUAUGCGACUCGAACCCCUGACCCCGAACACAUAAACAGUAAUACAUAGCCACAGACACAAAGAUUUAAUUAUGAUGGAAUUCAACAGUCAAGCAUUCAAAUUUUUAGAGCGAUACAUGUGACACUGUUUAUUUUUAGUCGCACAAGUUAUACGUAUAUAUGUGAAUAUUGCUAUGAAUGAAUGCAUGAUAGCAUGCCAGAUGAUGAUAGUAAGUGACAAAUAAAUGCGCUAAAUAAGCAUAGUAUCAAAUAUAGAUAAUGAGUAUGAUGUGAUAAGUAUAUGUGCAUAAUACAUGAAAAUGAGAACGAAGGACGGAGGAGUUCCAUAAAAGACAAUGGGAAUUUAAGUCCACAAUGAAAGUUAGUACUGCAUGAAGUAGGCAACAAUGUCAUCAAAAACGGAUAAGCCAAGAUGGUAGAUUAAUAAACUUCUGAAGAUGGUAGGUUAAUAAUAUAUAUAAUGCUAAAACUUAAUAUCUAAUUUAUACACUUUAAUUUUUUAUUUAAUUUGAUUCCUCUACUUGUAUAAGUUGAUUCAACAUUAUUUUUAUUGUUACAUGAUUACUAAGUGAUUUUUAUUUUUUUAAAACGCCAUAUUAGUAGAUUCAGUAGAAGAAUUUUAACGGUGAUGACUAUUGCAUUUGAAUUUUUAAAUUCAGAAUGUUGAGAGACUAGAUUCCUGAAAAUAUAAGUAGGUGACUAAAUUUCAAAUGUAUAAAAUGUAUAAAAACUUAAAAUAUCUUUUAACCUUCAAUUUUUUGUUAGGUGAAGCUGAAAACUAUUCUAAUAUUUUUAAAGGUAAUGAUAUAUCCUACACUAAUGAAGAUGUGAUUUAUCACAUCGUAAUUAAAACUAAUUAUAAGGGGAAGCAUAACAAUGUUUAAUUAUUAACCUCAGCUACAUACAUUAGAUUAGUGGCAUAAACUCAAUUAAAGAGUAAUGACACAUGUAUAAAAUACUAAUGUUAAAGCUAAUAUAAUUAGACAUUACAAUGAUUAUAUACUACAAACAUAUUACACGGAUAUAUCAAAAUAUAUAUCACAUAAAAUUUUAAUAUCCUAAACUUAACUAAUAUAUAUCACAUAAAAUUGUAAAUGAAAAACAGUAUAAAUGUAACGCUCUACAUUUUUGGAUUUUUGAAUGUGUAUUUUUGUCGAGUAAUUUAAUUUGGUAUGAUUGUUAAAUACUUUGGAUGUUUGUUUUAGGUCUUAUGUUUGAUUUCUUUAUUCUGGAUUUAUCUCUUAAAUUUUGGCUUUAUGUUAAUUUUGAGUAUUUGGGUUUAAAUCAAUUUCUUUGUUGGAUUGUUAAAAUGGUGAACCUAGAUAUUUAAUGGUUAAGCCUCAACGUAUUCUUGUGUUUUUUAGUUUAAAUCUCGGUGGGAGCAUAAGAAAUGUUUUUGUUGCUUGUUUUGCUAAUGGUUGAUUUCGUUUUGAAUUACAAGGUUAAUGGUUAGAUUACAGUAGGAUGUUAGGGGGAUAAGUUGUUAGCAAAUAUAUUAUCUUUUUUUUACUUAAUUUUCAAAUGCCCUAUAUAUGUUUCCAAAAGUAAGCGUCCCAAUCCCCCUUGUUUUCAUGUUCUAUUUUGCUUCCCUAAUGUUGAUAUUUUAUUUUAUUUUCUCCCUUCCUAUUUUCUUUGGUUUUUUUUCUUUUUUUUCUUGUGGAUUCUUGGCUGCCAUUCAUUAAACUCUAUUGUGUUCUUUUGAAGGGUAAGUACUAUUCGAUUGUUUUUAUGGUUGUCUUGUUCUUAGCUUGUCUUUGUAACAGGCCGUUUUUAAUCAAAUCGAAACAGUGGUUUCGGGACCACAAAUUUGAAGUCAAAAUAAUUAUUGAAAAUUUUGUUAAGAAAUUUUAUCAUUUGAAUGCUUAAUUUGGUAAAAAAGACUGACUCACGUAAAGUGUAAAAGUGAUGUUCUAUUAGCUAAGGUGUCUAAUAGCUAUGGAACCUUAAAGUAGAGGUCCUUAUGUGGUAAAUAAACCAUUUUUAGUGUUAAUGGGCAAACAUGGACAUGCAUAAAUGAGUUUUAAUGGUUUAUAUGAAAGGUUAAUAUUGUAAUUUGGUUAUUAAAGUAAAAUAAAUAAAACAAAAUCAAAAUGUUAAAGGCUAUCAUCUUCCUAGCCGAUUUUUAGCAAAGAAGAAAGCUAUUUUUAGGGCUUGAAGCAUUUGGUCAUCUCCUAGCUCAAUUGUAAGUCCGUUUUUGUUCCAUUUUUAAUGAUUUCUAUGUUUUUGAGAUUGUUGCAACUAGGUCUAGCUAGCCCAGAGACUAUUUUGCAAAACUAUUAAAGGGUUUAGAUGUUUCCAUUGAUGAAUACAUGAGUAUUUUGAUGUUUAAUGAUAGAUUAUGAAUAUUUGAUGAUAGUUAUUCAAGUUUUGUUAAGUGAUUUUUAGUGAAAUUGCAGAAUAAGGAUUAAAUUAUAAAAUGUGGAAACUUUGUGGUUAGAAUGUAAAAUAAAUGAAAAAUAUGGGUUGCUAGGAGCAUAAUAGUAAUUCGGCUAGCAUGGGUUAGUCUUAAAUUGUAUGAAUAUGUGUUUUUAUGAAAUAAGGACUAAAUUGUAAAAGUUAUGAAAUAUUAGAGGCAAAAGUGUAAAUGUGCUUUAAUAAGUGUUUUAGAUUAAAUGGAAUUGUGAGGUAAUUAAAUAAGCUAAAUUUGAUUACAUAUAGAUCAAGAAAAGCAAAACUCGAAUCUUGAUCGGGGGAAAUUAAGUAUUGGAUUAGUUGGUUCAUUCCAUCAUUUUUGUGAACCGAGGUAAGUUCGUAUAUAAUAAAUUCAUUCUAAAUUAUUUUAAAUGCUUUGAUAUUGCAUAAACUAUGAAUACGAGACUACGAACAUAGUCGAUAGUAAUUCGAUGAUGAUUCGGCAUACAGAAUCCCAAUUGAACCUUAGGAAUAAAUUAAGAUACUACUGACAUGUCAUUAGGGAAUACAUUGAUUUGGCUUUGGGCCAUGAUAUAGGCACUUUGGGUGUGAGUUACAUUGAUUUGGCUUCGAGCCAUGAUAUAGACACUUCGGGUGUGAGUUAUAUUGAUUUGGCUUUGGGCUCAAAACAUACCUCAAUCAAGAAUAUAUACAAACUUAUAAUGGACUAAAUUUGGCUUUAGUUUUAUUUAAUUAACCUUUAUUUUCACAAUUACCAAAAUACCCUUAAUUAAAACAUUAAUCAAACUUAUAAUGGAAGACCAUUUAUGUCAUAAUCCACUAAUUAUAGUCUAAUCAUAUCAUAAGGACCUCUCAUUUAAUAAAUCAUAGCAAUUAAACACUUUUAACUUAUAGCAUGCUACUUUUACAUUUUAAGAGAUUAAGUCCUUUUAUCAAAUUAAACAUUCAAAUGCUAAAAUUAUUCCACGAAACUUUCACACAUAUCUAACCACAUGCUAUAAACACCAAAAAUAAUAUUAAAAAUAAAUUUUCGACCUCGAAUUUGUGGUUUCAAAACCACUGUUCUGAUUUAGCUAAAACCGGGUUGUUACAUCCCACCCUGUGUCCAACCUCAUGUAACUCUCUAACUUGGGUCACACGGCCAACACACAUGCCUGUGUGCCUAGCCUAUAUGCCUUAAAAAUGGCCAUACAAGCCCGUGUCUCUGGCCGAGUGCUAGGCCAUGUCGAACGUAUAUGGUGUACUGACUUAUGCCACACGGCCAAGUCACAUGCCGGUGUGUGAGGCCGUGUGGAGCAUACUGACAUGAUUUCAAUUUCAACAUGAGAGGACACACGGCCGUGUAAUAUAACCGUGUGUCACACACGGCUGAGACACAUGCUUGUGUCUCUGCCCGUGUGGACAAAAAUAGGCUAUUUACCAAACCAAUUUGCCACCCAAAUUUGAAUGUACCUACAACAUAUCAAUUUGCACCAUCCCAUGGCAUAAAUAGGCUUUUAAACCAGCCAAUUCAAACCUAAUUCAUGCAUAAUCUAUACCACAUUACUCAAUACAUACAAGUUGCAAAAUAGACCAAUCCAUUCAUAUCCAAAAUCUCAUAAACUUAGAUCAUCAAUAUAGCUACUUAAAACAUGCAUUCUUUACCUUGAUUCACAAGAAAAUAACAUCACCAAUAUCAACAUUCAACUUCCAUAAUACCAAAUAUUAAUAAGCAUCCAAAACCAACCUCAAUUUACAUAACAUAAACUAUAGGCACAAACACAUAUACACUAGCAAAUUAAUCUCAAAAUAAGCCAACUCUCAUGGCUAUUAUAUACAAACCAAGACAUAUACAUUUACAAGCCAAUUCAAAUGGCCAAAAUCAUUACCAAAACAUAACCAACUUGACCAAAGUCCCUAUACAUGCCAUAUACUUAAAAUACCAAAUUUCAUAGGUACCAAGUGAUAAGUGGAUAGUGUGAAGCGAUCUCCGGCAAUCCCCGAAUUCGAGCUAGCUUGAUAACAGUAUAAAAUACGGGGAAAAUAAACAAAGCAAGAUAUAAAGCUUAGUAAGGUCAUAUGAAAUAAACUCGAUAUAAUCAUAUCCACAUAAUUCAACAAUUUGAUUAUAGAUACAUGAAUUCAUAUCAACUAACAAGCCUUUCAAUUACUUAUUCACAAAACUAUAUAUUUUCUUCACUAUUUCUUCGAUUCAAAGCUAAUAUAGUUUAUGCACAUACCUCUACCGUCUCGUACCAAUCUCAUUCUCAACCACAUCAUUCAUUUACCCAUUAAACCAUUCGGAAUAGAAGUCGGAUACUUAGGAGUCUUGCACACUAAGUACCUAUACCAUGGCCCGAAGCCAAAUCCAGGUAACUUAUAUUCGAAGUACUGAUAUCAUGGCCCGAAGCUAAAUUAGCCGAUAUUCAUGGUCCGAAGCCAAACUGGUAUAACUCGCACCCGAAGUGCUAAUAUCAUGGCCCGAAGCUAACUCAAUGUAUCCCCUAAUGACAUGUCACCAGUAUCCUAAACUAUUCCUAAGGUUCAACCGGGAUUUCGAAUACCGAAUUACCAUCGAGUCAUUUUCGAACUUACCUGAAGUCUUGUAUUCACCACUUAUACAAUAACAAAGCAUUUAAAAUACACUUAUAAUGAAAUUUAUCACAUGCGAACUUACUUCGGAUGUGAAAACGACGAAAUAAGUCGAUUAGUCUAUAACUUUAGUUUUCCCCCGAUCUAGAUCUGAAUUCCGCUUUUCUUGAUCUAAAUAUAUUUGAAAUUAACUUAUUUAAUAAUCUCUCUAUUCAAUUUAAUCCAAAACACACAUUUAAGCACAUUUACCUUUACCUUAGAAUUUCUCAACUUUUACAAUUUAGUCCUUAUUACACAAAAUAAAAAAUUCAUGAAAUUUCUUUAAUACCCAUGAUAGCCGAAUUACUAUAAUUCCCCUAGCAUCCCAAAUUUAUCAACUUUUCAGAUAAUUAACCACACAUUUUCAUAUUUUCACAAAUAAAUCCCUAUUUUGCAUUUUUACUCAAAAUCACUUUACAGAAUAUGUAAAUCUAGCAACAAGAUUUCAUAUUUCAUCAUCAAACAUCAAAGAACACAUAUUUUCAUCAAUGAAAACUUUCAAAUCUUUAACAGUUUUACAAAAUAGUCCCUGGCUAGCUAGAACUAGUUGCAACGAUCAUAAAAACAUAGAAAACAUUAAAAAUCAAGUCAAAAUAACUUACCAAUUAAGCUCCAAAGUGACCGAACCCUAAAAUGAACAAAAUGGUUUUCUUCUUCUUCAACAUUCGAUUAAUGAAGAUGAUAAUGGAGCUUUAAUUUGGUUAUGUUUUAUUUAUUUUAAGUUAGAUUACCAAAUUACAAAUAUAACGUUAAUAAUUAACCAUUUAAAUCAUCCAUUCUACGUACGUAAAUGUCCACUCACAAUUAAAAUGGCCUAAUUUCCAUUUAAGGACCUCUAAUUUAUGAUUCCUUAGCUAUUAGAUACUUUUAGCUAAUAGAACUCCACUUUUACACUUUACGCGAUUUAGUCCUUUUUAUCAAAUUGACUAAUCAGACGAUAAAAUUUCUAAACGAAACUUUCACACAAUCAUAUAUUCAUACUGUAGACCUUAAAAUAAUAAUAAAAUAAAUAUUUUGACUUCAAAUUUGUGGUCCCGAAAUCACUGUUACGAUUUGACUAAAAACGGGCUGUUACAACUCUCCCAUUUAGGGAUUUUCGUCCCCAAAAAUCUUACCAGCAAAAUGGUUAGGGUACUGUUUUCUCAUAGCUUUCUUGGGUUCCUACGUAGGCUCUUCAGCACCAUGUUGUUGCCAAAGUACUUUCACAAGAGCUAUGCUUUUAUUUCUCAACUGUUUAGCCUCACGUGCUAGAAUUCUGAUCGGUUCUUCGUUGUAUGUCAUAUCAGGUUGAAUUUCAAUUUCUGCCAGAGAAAUUAUGUGUGAAGGAUUUGAUCUAUAUCGACGCAACAUUGACACACGAAACACAUUGUGAAUCUUUUCUAACUCAGUUAGUAAAGCUAGUCAAUAUGUCACUAAACCUAUUCUUUCGAUGAUCUCAUAUGACCCGAUAAAACGUAGACUCAACUUACCUUUAUGAACAAAUCAAAGGAUUUUCUUCCAGGGAGACACUUUCAAAAAUACUUUAUCACUAAUUUGAAAUUCAAUGUCUUUUUGUUUCAAAUCUAUGUACGAUUUCUGUCAAUCUGAAGUUGCUUUCAAACUGUCGUGAAUUACUUUCACUUUUUCUUCUGUUUCUUGGAUCAAAUCAACCCCGUGAAUCUUUUUCUCACUAAAUUCAGUCCAAUAAAAUGGAGUUCAACAUUUGUGACCAUACAAAGCUUCGUAUGGUGCCAUUUUUGUGCUCGAUUGAAAACUGUUGUUAUACGCAAAUUCAACCAAUGGUAAAUAUUUCUCCCAAUUUCCUUCGAACUCUAAAACACAACAUUGGAGCAUAUCUUCGAGAAUUUGAAUUACUCUCUCAGACUGACCAUCGGUUUGCAAAAGAAAUGUAGUACUAAAUCUUGCAAUUUCUUCCAAAAUCGUGAUGUAAAUCUCGGAUCCCUAUCCAAAAUAAUCUAAACUAGAACUUCGUGCAAUCUAACGAUCUCAACAAUGUACAAUUCAACUAAUCUAUCGAGUGAAUAGACUGUACGUACUGGUAUAAAAUGCGCCAAUUUCAUCAAUCUAUCAACUACAACCCAAACAACAUCUUUCUUUUUUAGAGUUAGGGGCAAUCUCGAUAUGAAAUCCAUCGUAACUCUAUCCCAUUUCGACUCAGGUAUCAUUACAGGUUGUAGUAAUCCUGAAGGCACUUAAUGUUAAGCUUUUACUUGUUGACAAAUCAAACACCUCAGCACAAAUUUUGAAAUGUCCUGUUUCAUGCCUAACCAACAAUACGAUUGUUUCAAAUCAUUAUACAUCUUAGUACUUCCAGGAUAAACGGAUAAACAACCAUUAUGUGCCUCAUAUAAAAUUUUCUAAAUCAACUUUGCAUUUUUCGGUAUGCAGAUUCUACCUUGGAACAUCAAACAAUCAUCAUAUCCAAUUUGGUACUCUGAGUCACUAGUUGACUCGCAUUGCACUCUUUUAGCUAUUCACUAUCACAUUUCUGAGCUUUGCAAAUUUGCUAAAGAAAUACUGGUUUAGCCUUUAACUCAGCUAAAAUCGAACCAUCAUCAGAUAAUGUCAACCGUGUAUUCAUUUCUCUCAAGGCAAACAACGAUUUUCUACUCAAAGCAUCUGCGACUACAUUAGCUUCCCUAGAUGAUAAUAUAUUAUUAACUCAUACUCUUUUAGUAGCUCGAGCCAUCUCCAUUGUCGCAAAUUUAAAUAUUUCUGAGUAAUAAUUUACUUUAAGCUUUUAUGAUCGAUAAAGAUGUGGCACUUUUCACCGUACAAAUGAUGUUGCCAAAUUUUUAAUGCAAAUACAAUAGUGGCCAAUUCUAAAUUGUGCGUCAGAUAGUUCUUUUCAUGUGGCUUCAACUGUCUCAAGGCAUAAGCUAUCACUUUUCCCUCUUGCAUCAACACGUAACCCAAACCAUUUAAUGACGUGUUGCUGUAAAUCACAAAUUCUUUUCCUAACUCAGGUUGAACCAAAACUGGUGCUUUAGUUAACAAUGCUUUCAACUAAUUGAAAUUUUGUUGACAUUUCUCUGAUCACUCAAAUUUCAUAUAUUUCUAUAACAACCUGGUCAUCCGUAUAGCAAUCAUUGAGAAUCCUUUUACAAAACGUUGAUAAUAACUUAACCCCAAGAAGCUUCUGACUUUAGAUAUAUUUCUCAGUAGUUUCCAAUCAACAACUGUUGAAAUUUUGCUCGGAUAAACUCUUAUGCCUUUUGCUAAAACAAUGUGCCCCAAAAAUCUGACUUCUCUGAGCCAAAACUCACAUUUACUAAAUUUAGCAUACAGUUGCUUAUCUCUCAAAGUUUUCAACACAAUUCUCAAAUGCUUAGCAUGCUCGACUUAUCUCGAGAAUAAAUCAGAAUGUCGUCAAUGAACACAACAACAAAUCUGUUUAAAUACAGUGUAAAGAUCCAAUUCAUCAAAUCCAUAAAAAUAGUAGGAGCAUUAGUUAGUCCAAAAGGCAUAACAAGGAAUUCAUAAUGUUCGUACCUCGUUCUAAAUGUAGUUUUCGACACAUCUUAAUCUUUAACUCUCAACGAAUAAUAACCCGAUCUCAAAUCAAUCUUCGAAAACAUUGUUGCCUCUUUUAACUGAUCAAACAAAUCAUCAAUUCUUGACAAAGGAUACUUGUUCUUUAUCGUAACUUUAUUGAGUUGUUGAUAGUCAAUACACAUUCUCAUUGACCCAUCUUUCUUCUUUAGGAACAAUAAUGGCACACCCCAGGGCGAAAAACUAGGUCGUGCAAAACCUCUAUUUGUUAACUCUUGCAACUGAGAUUUCAACUUUUUCAAUUCUUUUAGAGCCAUUAUGUAUGGAGCUAUAGAUAUCGACGAUGUUCCUGGUACUAGUUCAAUAGCAAACUCAACCUCUCUGAUCAGUGGAAACCCAGGCAAUUCUUUUGGAAGACAUCCAGAUAUUCAAAAACUACAGGCACCGAUUCAAUCUUCAUUUCAGACACUUUGGUAUCUAAAACAUAGGCAAGAUAAGCAUCACAACCUUUUCUCACAUAUAUCUAAGCCGAUAUCGAUGAAAUUACUAUAGAUAAUCUACUUGACUCAUCUGAUUAAAUUCAAAGAAUUACACUGUUCUGACAUUUCAAUUCAAUGAUCUUUCAUCUACAAUUCUCAACAGAAUCAUGCAGAGUCAACCAAUCCAUACCGAGUAUUACGUUAAACUACUCAAAAGGUAGUAGCAUAAAGUCAGCUAAAAAAUAGUAACCCCGAGUCAUCAACGGGCAAUCCUUGCAAACUUUAUCGACUAAAACAUACUUGCCUAAGGGGUUUGAUACUUUAUAUAAAUUCUGUAGACUCAACAGGCAAAUUGAGUAGACUGAAUAAGCAAAUUUUUACUAGACACUAAAUUCAUACAGAUAUAUGAAUGAGUCAAUCCAGGAUCAAUCAAUGCAAUCAUAUUAGUGUCAUAAAAAGAAAAUGUGCCGGUGAUAACAUCAGAUGACGACAUUUCUUCAUGAGCGCAAAUAGCGUAAGUUCUGGCUAGCACUCUAGCCUCAGAUCUCACAACUGAAUCCCUAGUCACACCUUUUCCACUAGACAUAUUCCUCGUUUUUUGCGGUGGUCUCUCUCUCGCAAUCGUAUUGCUUGGUCUUGCAUUCUGAAAUUUAUCUUCCUCAAAUAGCUUUGGGUAAUCUCGAAUAAAAUGAUCUGGCGAGCCACAUUUGAAACAAACUUUAUUACUCUUAUUCCAGCACUCUCCAAAAUGUCGUCUCUUACACUAUUGACACUCAGCUUUAUUAUUUCUCAUACUGCCAACGCUUGAGACGGAAGUAGCUUGAGCUUUAGGACUCACAUGUUGAUUUCCACGAUCUCUAUUCUGGUAUCCCACUGAUGCAUUUGAUCAACUAUACAAAUCUCAAGAUUUCUUUGAUGAAGAAUGAUACAGUUUAUUCAUCGAUCUUUUUCUUAAAUCUCUAGCCUCUGAAUCAGCUUUCAUCUUUGCUCGGCUAAAGCCUUUAGUAUUACAAGCCUGGUCAACUAAUACAACAAAUUCUUUCAAAUAUAAAAUCCCGACCAAAAGUUUAAUGUCUUCAUUCAAAUCAUUAACAAACUGCUUGCACAUGAUCUCUUCGAUAGAAACAUACUCUCGAGCACAUUUGCUCAACCGCACAAAUUCUGUCUCGUACUCGAUUACAGUCAUAUGGCCCUAUUUCAAUUCUAAAAACUCUUUAUGCUUUUGAUCUAGAAACCGUUGGCUUAUAUAUUUCCUCCUAAACUUAUUUUGAAAGAAUUCCCAAGUGACCCAUUCUCUAGGUAUCACAGAUACUAAUGUAUUCCACCACUGAUAUGCAGUAUCUCUCAAUAAUAAAAUGGCACACUUUAAACUCUCAGCUGAAGUACACGACAAUUCAUCACAUACUUGAAUAGUAUUUUCAAGCCAAAAUUUAGCUCUCUCGGGAUCGUCAUCAACGGUAGCUCUGAACUCUUCAACCCCGUACUUACAGAUUUUAUCAAUCGGAGGCUUAUUUAGUCGUUGGAAUUCUACAACUUGAGGGGCUAUAGGGAUCGAUUGAGGAUUAAGUGGGGCUGGAGGUUGUUGAGCAGCCGGAUUUGUCCAGACAUACUGUGUGAACCAGUCGUUUAUCAUUUGGAAGAAGGCUUCUUUAGCCUCUCCUCCUUGGCUACCUGAUAUGGGUUUAGAUUCAAAAGGCACUGUCCCUUGAGCAGGAGCUGACGCAUUACUUUCAACCUCAUCAGCUACACUCGAUUGGGACCCAUUUACUAUAUGAAAACACAUUUAAAAAUGACAGGAGUCAUCACACUAUCACAGUUUAUAUAUGGCAUGUAUAGCUAAACUCUCACACAUGCUACAUUAGUCCUACAAUUAACUAAAUUACAAAUCUGAUACCAAUAAAUGUAACACCCCUCACCUGUAUUUAACGCUGAAAUAGGGUUACAGAGCAUUACCAAACUUACAACAUAAACAACCAUCCAAUUCGAAUAAAAAAUCUUUAACCAAAUGUAAUUCCAAUAAAAUACAAUCACAUUGUCCCUAUUACGAGCCUAUAAGGCCUUAAACAUAUUUUAGGAAUGGUUCGGGACUAAAUCGACAACUUCAAAAACUUUCACGAAACCUUGAAAAAUUUUCUCAAAACAGGGGACACACACCCGUGUGGUCCACUCGUGUGUCUCACACGGCCAACAAACAUACUCGUGUCAUAGGUUGUGUAGACAUUAGAAAUAGGAGCACAUGGCCGUGUCCCAGCCCGUGUCUGACCCUGUGUAACUCUCUGACUUAGGUCACACGGCCAACACAAAGGCCCGUGUGACCUAAAAAUGGCCAUACACGCCCGUGUGCCAGGUCAUGUGCUAGGUCGUGCCAAACCUGUAGGGUGUACUGACUUAUGCCACACGGCCAAGUCACACACUCGUGUGUGAGGCCGUGUGGAGCAUACUUACUUGAUUUCAAUUUCAACACUAGGGGACCCACGACCGUCUAACAUAACCAUGUGCCACAUAAGGCUAAGACACACGGCCGUGUCUCUACCCGUGUGGACAAAAAAAUGGACCUUUAAUUUGGUUAUGUUUUAUUUAUUUUAAGUUAAAUUAACAAAUUACAAAUAUAAACUUAAUAAUAAACCAUUUAAAUCAUCCAUUCUAUACCCAUAAAUGUCGACUCACAAUUAAAAUGGUCUAAUUACCAUUUAAGGACCUCUAAUUUAUGAUUCCUUAACUAUUAGAUGCUUUUAGCUAAUAAAACUCCACUUUUACACUUUACGCAAUUUAGUCCUUUUUAUCAAAUUGACUAAUCAGAUGAUAAAAUUUAUAAAGAAAACUUUCACACAAUCAUAUAUUCAUACUGCAGGUCAUAAAAUAAAUAUUUUGACUUCAAAUUUGUGGUGCCGAAACUACUAUUCUUAUUUGACUAAAAAUGGGCUGUUGCAAGUGUCGGUUCAACCUGAGUCGGAUAAAGAGUUUGUGAUUUAUAGCAACGCGUCAUUGAAUGGUUUGGGUUGCGUUUUGAUGUAAGAAGGAAAAGCCGUAGCUUAUGCCUCUAGACAGCUAAAACCGCAUGAAAAGAACUAUUUGACGCAUGAUUUAGAGUUGGCCGCUAUUAUUUUCGCAUUGAAAAUUUGGCGACAUCAUUUGUAAGGAGAAAAGUGUCAUAUCUUUACCGAUCACAAGAGUUUGAAAUAUAUAAUGACUUAGAAAGAUCUAAACUUGUGACAAUGAAGAUGGUUAGAAUUGUUGAAAGAUUAUGAGUUAGUAAUUGAUUAUCAUCUAAGGAAAGCAAAUGUAGUUGUAGAUGCUUUGAGUAGAAAAUCUCUAUUUGCUUUGAGAGCGAUGAAUACAGGACUAACUUUGUCUGAUGAUGGUUCGAUUUUAGCUGAAUUAAAAGCUAAACCAGUGUUUCUUUAGUAAAUUUGUGAUGCUAAAAAAUGUGACAAUGAGUAGCAAGCUAAAAGAGUGCAAUAUGAAUUGAUUAAUGAUUUAGAAUAUCAAAUCAGAUCCAAUGAUUGUUUAAUGUUCUAAGGUAGAAUCUACAUACCAAAGAAUCCCAGGCUCAUUCAGAAAAUUUUAUAUGAGGCACAUAGUGGUUGUUUAUCUGUUCACUGGGGAGUACUAAAAUGUAUAAUGAUUUGAAACAAUUGUAUUGGUGGUCAACAUUUUAGAAUUUGUAUUGAGAUGUUUGGUGUGUCAGCAAGUUAAAGCUGAACAUCAAGUGCCAUCGAGAUUACUGCAACAUGUGAUAAUACUAGAGUGGAAGUGGGAUAGAGUUACGAUGGAUUUCGUAUCAGGUUUUCCUUUGUCUAUGAAAAAGAAAGAUGCUAUCUAGGUUGUUGUAGACCGAUUAACGAAGUCUGCGCAUUUCAUUCUGGUACGUACAGACUAUUCACUUGAUAAAUUGGCUGAAUUGUACAUAUUUGAGAUUGUUAGAUUGCACGGGGUGCCAGUUUUGAUUAUUUAAGAUAGAGAUCUGAGGUUUACAUCACGAUUUUGGAAGAAACUAUAUGAAGCUCUUGGUACGAGGUUGAAUUUUAGUACAGCUUUUCACUGCAAACUAACGGUCAAUCUAAGAGAGUAAUAAAAAAUAUCAAAGAUAUGCUUCGUUGUUGUGUGUUGGAGUUCGAAGACAACUGGGAGAGAUUUUUGCCAAUGGUUGAAUUUGCAUAUAACAAAAACUUUCAAUCGAGUAUAAAAAUGGCACCGUACGAAGCUUUAUAUGGUUGCAAAUGUCGAACUCCAUUGUAUUAGACCGAGUUGAGUGAGAAAAAGGUUCUUAGGGUUGAUUUGAUCCGAAAGAUUGAAGAAAAAGUAAAAGUAAUUCGUGAUAGUUUGAAAGCAGCUUCAGAUCGACAGAAAUUGUAUGCAGAUUUGAAACAAAAAGACAUUGAUUUUCAGAUCAGCGAUAAAGUGUUUCUAAAAGUAUCUCUGUGGAAGAGAAUACUUAGAUUUGGUCACAAAGGCAAGUUGAGUCCGCAUUUUACCGGGCCGUAUAGGAUCGUCAAAAGAAUAGGUCCAGUGGCAUAUCGGCUAGCUUUACUGAUUGAGCUAGAGAAAAUCCAUAAUGUGCUUCACGUAACGAUGUUGUGUUGAUAUAGAUCAAAUCCAUCACAUGUAAUUUCUUUGGCAGAGAUUUAAAUUCAACCUGAUAUGACGUACAACGAAGAACCAAUCAAAAUUCUAGCUCGAGAGAUUAAAGAAUUGAUAAAUAAAUGAAUAGCUUUGGUGAAUGUUUUGUGGCAACAACAUUGUGUUGAAGAAGCCACGUGGGAACCCAUGGAAGCUAUGAGAAAACAGUACCCUAACCUAUUCACUGGUAAGAUUUUCAGGCACGAAAAUCCCUAAGGGGGAGAGAGUUGUAACAACCAAUUUUUAGUCAAAUCGAAAUAGUGGUUUUGGGACCACAAAUCUAAAGUCAAAAUAAUUACUUUAUUAUUAUUUUAAUGUUUACAACAUGAUUGAAUGAUUGUGUGAAAAUUUUGUUAAGAAAUUUUAUCAUUUGAAUGCUUAAUUCGGUAAAAAGGACUAAAUUGUGUAAAGUGUAAAAGUUAUGUUCUAUUAGCUAAAGGUGUCUAAUAGCUAUGGAACCUUAAAGUAAAGGUUCUUAUAUGGUAAAUAAACCAUUUUUAGUGUUAAUGGACAAAGAUGGACAUGCAUAAAUGAAUUUUAAUGGUUUAUAUUAAAGGUUAAUAUUGUAAUUUGGUUAUUAAAGUGAAAUAAAUAAAUAAAAAUCAAAAUUUUAAAGGCUAUCAUCUUCCUGGCCAAUUUUUAGCAAAGAAUAAAGCCAUUUUUAGGGCUUGAAGCAUUCCGUCAUCUCCUAGCUCAAUUGUAAGUCUGUUUUUGUUCUAUUUUUAAUGAUUUCUACUUUUUUUAGAUCGUUGCAACUAGGUCUAACUAGCCCAGGGACUAUUUUACAAAAUGUUAAAGAUUUUAGAUGUUUCCAUUGAUGAAUACAUGAUUAUUUUAAUGUUUAAUGAUAUAUUAUGAAAUUUGAUGAUAGUUAUACAAGUUUUGUUAAAUGAUUUUUAGUGAAAAUGAAGAAAAGGGAUUAAAUUGUGAAAUGUAAAAAAAUUUGUGGUUAUAAUGUGAAAUAAUGAAAAAUAUGGGCUGUUGGAGGCAUAAUAGUAAUUCAACUAGCAUGGGUUAGUCUUAAAUUGUAUAAAUUUGUGUUUUUAUGAAAUAAGGACUAAAUUGUAAAAGUUGUGAAAUAUUAGGGGCAAAAGUGUAAAUGUGCUUUAAUAAGUGUUUUGGAUUAAAUUGAAUAGUGAGGUAAUCAAAUAAGCUAAAUUUAAUUACAUAUAGAUCUAGAAAAGCAAAACUCAGAUCUUGAUCGGGGGAAAAAUAAAGUAUCAGAUUAGUCGGUUCAUUCUAUCGUUUUUGUGAAUCGAGGUAAGUUCGUAUGUAAUAAGUUCAUUAUAAAUGUAUUGUAAAUGCUUUGAUAUUGCAGAAACUUUGAAUAAGAGACUACGGACAUGUUCGAUAGUAAUUCGAUGAUGAUUUGACAUACGAAAUCUCAAUUGAACCUUAGGAAUAAAUUAGGAUUCUAGUGACAUGUCACUAGGGAAUACAUUGAUUUGGCUUCGAGCCAUGAUAUAGGCACUUCGGGUGCGAGUUACAUUGAUUUGGCGUUGAGCCAUGAUAUAGGCACUUCGGAUAUGAGUUACAUUAAUUUGGCUUCGGGCCAUGAUAUCGGCACUUCGGGUGUAAGCUUCAUUGAUUUGGUUUUAGGCCAUGAUAUUGGCACUUAGGGUGCGAGACUCCGGAGUAUCUGAAAUUUAUUCUGAAUUGUUCAACGGGUAAAUGAAUGGUAUGUUUAGUAUGAGAUUGAUACGGGAUGGUAUAGGUAUGUACAUAAAUCCUAUAAGCUUUAAAUCGAAGAAACGAUGAAUAAUACAUAUAGUUUUAUUUGAAAGGUUUGCUAGUUAAUAUGAAUUAUAUGUGUUUAUGGUUAUAUUAAGUUCAUUUCAUACGAGCUUACUAAGCUAUAAAGCUUACUUUGUUUAUUUUCCCAUGUUUUAUAGUGAAUUCAAAGGGAGCUCAGACUCGGGGAUCGUUGGAGAUAUUGUCACACUAUCCAACUAAUCAAUUUUGGUACUUUUGAGCUUGUGUUUUGGUCAUAUGGCAUGUAUAGGGACUUUGGUCAUUUUGGUUAACAAAUUAACGAUGAAUGUACCUAUUUGAGUUGGCUUGUAAAUGUUCUAAGUUUGGUUUUGUAUAUUGCCAUAUAUGUUGGCUUGUUUUAGUAUGUUUGAAUCAUGUGUAUAUAUAUAUGGCCUGGAUUGUGAGUUCAUGGAUAGGUAUAUGAUACUUAUGAAUUAUCAAGAUUGUGGAGGUCAAUUGGUUGAUAUUAGAGUACUUAUAUACUUGUGAGUUUGAUGUUUAAUGAUGCAUGUUUGGAAGUGUCUAGCAAGUUAAGUUAUAAAUGUGAAAUUGGUAUAAAUGGUUUGACAUGUUUUGUUAUUAGUGUGUAUAGAGAAUGAGAGUAUUGAAUGUGCAUGAAUUAUGUUUGAAUUGGUUGAUUUAAAAUACCUAUUGAUGCUAUGUAUUGGUGCAUUUAAGUUUGAUGUACGUGAGCUCAAGUUGGGUGUCAAAAUGGCUUGGUUAAUAGCCUAUUUUUUUGUCCACACGAGCAGAGACACGGACAUGUGUCUUAGCCGUGCGUGAUACAUGGUCAUGUACACUGCUGUGUGUCCCUUGGUGUGGAAAUUAAAAAUAAGUCAGUAUUCUCCACAUGGCCUCACACAAGCCUGUGUGUGACUUGACCAUGUGGCAUAAGUUAGUAUACCCUACAGUUUUGGCAUGGCCUAGCACACGGCCUGGCAAACGGGCGUGUAUUGGCAUUUUUAGGGCACAUGGGCUAGCCGUACGGGUGUAAGUGUUGGCCAUGUGACCCAAGUCAGAGAGCUACAUGGGGCUGGACAUGGGCUGGAACACGGUCGUAUGCUUCGGACACAGGCGUGUCUUCGACUGUGUCUCUCACAUGGUCAGGCCACACGGGCGUAUGUCCCCUAUUUUGAGAAAAAAUAUCUACGUGUUUAAAAAGUUUCCAAAGUUAUCAGUUUAGUCCUAAACCACUCUUAAUGCAUGUUUAGGGCCUCGUAGGCUCGUAUUAGGUACAUAUUGAUUGAGAUUGAAUGAUAAUUGCAUGAAAUGCAAAGUGAAUGUUUAAUUAUUUUAUAAAUCCUGUAAUACUCCGUAACCCUAUUUCAGCGUUGAAUACGGGUGAGGGGUGUUAUAGUUUUUGGUAAAGUGAUGGUUGCUUAGUUAUUAUUCAUGUUCUGAAAUGUGAUUAGUGUAUUUUUGGUUCUUGGUAGGUGAAAGGGUUGUGAACCAAGACUCCAACAUAGUAGGCUCAGUUUUGGAUGCUAUUUCGGAGAAGUAAGUAAUCGAAUUGUAUUUUAUGGACUGAAAAUUCUUUUUAAGGAUGUGUUCUUGGAUGGAUUUUCUUGUGAUUAAUUCGUGUGAUUUGAUUAGCGAAUGUAGGUUUCGUGUUUUCUAGAUGCGUGGUUAAUCAACUCAACAAUCAAGUGUGUGAAAAUGACCCAAAAACUCAAUCAAAAUUCGAUUAAAUCGUGGAAUAAGGGUUUUUUUUUGAAACUGUCCAGUGCCACAAGGUUAUGUGGUAGACCGUGUGCACCACAAGGCCAUGUGGUAGACUGUGUGUGCCACACAAUUGUAUGUGCCACACAAUUGUGUGUGUUUUUGAAGCCUAUGUACCUUGACCGUGUGGAGCACACAGCCGUGUGAAAUCUUAUAGUCCGUGUAGCUUGGCCAUAUGAAACUUUGCAAACCGUGUGGGUAGGCUGUGAAAACCAUCUUUUUGGCCAAUUCUUUGGCCCAAUUAGAGGUCAUUUGAAGGACUCAAAAUAUGGGUCCGUAGGUAUUGUGUGGGACUAAAAAACGUACGUUUUAGCAUGUAACAAUAUAUGUAUAAACUUAGGAGGUAUGUUAAGUAAGAUAUGUUACAAUUAAAUUAUAUGCUACGUUAUGAUCUAUAUAAAAACGUGUGUACACAUGUCAUAUAUUAUGUGAUAUAAAUAUGUAUGAUAUAUGAUAACGAUAUGCAUGUGUUUUGGGGUGGGUUAUGAUAUGAUGGAGGAAAUGUUAUACGGUAGUUUAUACUGCAAUUAUGGCGGCUAGACACGAAUUUCAGUUUGGCAGCUCGACUGCAUAUAUAGAUAUAUAAUGGCACACCACAACAUAUUGUGUGAUUGGUUGGAUGGACUCUUGUAGUCCUAUAUGAUGUGAUUAGUUUGUCGGAGAUGGAGUGUAAUGGAUGAGGGUAGGAUAUGAUUUGAUAUGAUAUAAUAUGGUAUAAUAAGCUAUACUAUGUUCAAUAUGAUAUGACAUGUUGCAAUGUGUUAUGAUAUGAUAAGAUAUACUUUGAUUUGAUUUCUAAAAUGCUAUGAGACGAUUUGAUGAUUAUAUUUACUUGUAUUGAAAUUAUGGGCCAAAUCACACACUGGUCUUAAAGCUCAUGCCUUUGUUUACUUCGUUUCAGGUGAUCCUCUGACUUAGGAUUGGCGACGAAUCUGGAGCUCGGAUUUCACAUUUUUGGUUCAAGUACUAUGGACUUUCAAUUUGUUUAAUAUGAACAUUUAAGACUUUUCUUUGGUUUUAUGGACUUUUGGACAUUUUAGGUUUUGUUUAGGACGUUAGGGUUAUUUGGUAUUUAUUUCUCAAAAGCUUUUAACUUUUAGUAACGCUUAACUUAAGAUAACUAAAAAUGAAUCGCAACUUUAAAAUCGAUACAUUAUGAGGUUUCCGUUGCAAAAUUGAUUCAAGUUUACUGAGAGGUUUUAUCUCGGAACACUUAAGUAAUUAGGUUUGAUUUUAGUAUAACUAUUUUAAGCUGCGGUUUUAGAAAAAAACUAUGAUUUUCAAAUAAGCUACUUAAAUUGACUUUUCUCUUUGUGGACAGUUUGGUUUCCUUAAAAUUAAACAAUUUUUUUUUGCAAGUACAAUGUAACCUCCAUGAUUCGACCGUAACAUCUAGAUUGGGUAUGGGGUGUUACAACAAUAAAAUACUAAUGUUAUUGUAAUGCCCUAAAUUUUUUGGAUUUUUGAAUGUGUAUGUUUGCAAAAUAAUUUAAUUUGGUUUGGUGGUUAAGUGCCUUGGAAGUUUGCUUUGGGGUCUUGGGUUUAAUUCCCUAGUUUUGGAUUUUUUUCUUAUUAAUUUUGGAGGUUAAGCUUGGGCCUUAGGGCUUAAAGUAAUUUCUUUGUUGGGUUAUGACAAUGAUGAGCCUAGUGGUUUAAUGGUUAAGCAUUUUUUUGCUCUUUGGUUUUGAGUUUGAGUCCCAUUAUGCGCAAAUGUGGAAUAUUUUUGCUUGGGCCUUUGUUGGGAAUUAGAGUUUUCUUUAAAUUCUAAAAAAAAUCUAGAGAGUAGGAAUAUUUUUGCACAAACUCCCUCCUUACUUCAUUUUUUUUACUUCAUGGGUUUUUUUUUAUUUUUUUAUUUUUUAUGUUUGGUUAGCCUUGUUCUGCCGUUUUUCAAUCUUUUCUUCCUUGGGUCUUCUUCUUUUCUUUGCCUCUACUUUUCUUGAGCCUUUCUUGUUACUAUAUCUUGGAUUUUUCUACUGUUCGUACGUUCUUGUUACGUAGUUCUUCCCCAGCCAUAGUGUAAGUCUGUUGGUUACUCUUCUUUUUGUUUUAUUAUUUUAGUUUUAAUUGGGUUCGUGAGCAAGGUGGCUCUACACUUAAAUGUCUUUAUUCGAUGUUUUAAUUAGUGUUUUUAUGAUGUGCGAUUAGGCAACCCUCCAGCAGAGUAGGUACGAUUUUUCGAUGUCGUUUCAAGGAAGUAAGUAUUCAAACUUCGUUUAAGGGCCGAAAUUUUGUUUUUAAGGUUAUUGAUUUUUGAUGUUAAUUAUUGGUUAAUUCGUGGGAUUUGUUGAACGUUUGUAAGAUUUUUGAGUUCUGUUAGCAUGGGUCAAUCGAUUACUGCACUAGGCGUGUGAAAAUGACCCAAAAAAAUGCAUUUAAGAUUUGAUAAAACUUAAAAAACAGGGGCUAUUUCAAAAUUUGCCCAACGACCACAUGGCCAUGUGUCAGGCCGUGUGGUGGACCAUGUGUGCUGCAUGACUGUGUGCUAGGCCGUGUGGAGCACAUGACAGCGUGAAUUCUUGCAGCUUGUGUGGCUUGGCCGUGUGAAAAGGUGCAAAACGUGUGGGCCUUUUUUCCCAAUUUUAAGGCCCAAUUAGGAGUAGUUAAAGGACUCAGAAUUUUGGUCUGUAAGCAUUGUAUGGGGCCGAAAAAGCCUAAAUAUCUAAACCUAAAAGUUUAUGGAUAAGUUUAGAAGGUAUGUUAAGUAGGUAAUGUACCAUUUAAUCAUGUGUUAUGAUUUGUAUAAAAAUAUAUAAGUAUCAUGUCAUAUGAUUUAUGACCUAAAAAUAAGUAUGAUAUAUGAUUACGAUUUUUUUGUGUUUUGGGGUGGGUUUUGAUAUGUUGGAGGAAGCGUUAUAUGGAAACUAUAUUGCAAUCAUAACGAUUAGACCGCUAAUUUAGGUAUGGCAGCGCAGCUACAAAUUUGAGUUGCACACUGCUACCUAAUGGUGUGAUUGGAUGGAUGGACUCUUGUAGUCCUAUAUAGUGUGUAGCGAACAGGGGUAGGACAUGAUAUGAUUUGAUAUGGCAUGCCAUGUUAUGGUGUGAUAUGACAUGAUAUAUUUCUGUUCAUAAUGAUGUGAUAAGCUAUAAUUCAAUUUGAGUUCUGAUAUGCUAUAAGACAAUUUGAUGAUUAAAUUUAAUUGUACUAAAAUUAUGGGUCAAAUCAUACACUAGGCUCAAAGCUCACACCUUGUUUGCUUUAUUUUAGGUGAUCCUUCGAGUUAGGAUUGGAUGAUGACUCUGAAGCUCGGAUUUCAUGAUUUUGGUUUAAGUGCUAUGGAUUUCAUAUGUUUUGUUUAUUAUGAAAAUUCUGGACUUUUUCUUAGGUUUUGUUUAUUUCUAGAUGUUUUAUGAUUUGUUUAGAUCAUUAAGACCAUUUCAGUUUUUAUUACACAAAAGCCUUUACCUUUUUAAUGAUGCUUAACUAAAAUAACUAGAAGAAAAAGAACUACGAUUUUACAAAUGCUAUGUUUUAUGAUUUUCAGCUGCAAAAUAAAUUGAAGUUCACCUAGUAGUUUUCUCCCAACACCUAAGUAAAUUAGACUUCAUUUUUUGUAGAACUACUUUAAGCUGUGCUUUCAGAAAUUGCUAUGAUUUUCAAGAGCUAUUCAAGAUGACUUAUCUUUUCGCGGAAAGCUGGUUUCUUUCAAAAUUAUUCACCGUUUAUUUUUUUUGCUUGUAUGAUGUAACCCCCAUGAUCUGACCAUAACAUCUAGGCCGAGUAUCGGAUGUUACAGUUAUCUAACCUAAUGAAUAUUUGACAAAUGUGUUUUAAUAAAAAAAUAUUUAUACAUAUCGAUUCAAUUGCAUCAAUUAUUUUAACCUAACAUAAUGGUAUACAUUGUUUUAAUCAUAUCCGGUAAAAUCUCGUAACCUUAUUUCUAGGCGUUCGAUCAACUCCGCUUAAUUAUGCCAAAUCUACUCUUAGGCAGGGUUUAUUCCUCCUCUGCAUAAGCACAUCAAAUCAGGAAUUAAUACCCGGAAUAUUAACUCAAGCAUUAAGAACACAUAAUUAAGAACAAAUCAAGUAUUUAUCAUACAGUUCAGGUAAUAAAAACAAGAUCCAACAUAGGUUUUAUCCCCCUUAGGUAUCUAAGGGGUUUAGUUCAUAAUAAAAUAAGUGUACAUCUCAAAAGUAUGAAAAUAACAAAACAUAGAGAAAACUCUAAAACCCCUGAAGGAAUUCUGAGAGAAUUCUUCAGUCUUGGAGUAGCUCCGGCUUUUGGGAUGGAUCGUCUGGCUUUCUUCAAGUAAUUCCCGGUGUGAGUUUCUGUAUUCCAAAAAAAUUUUGGAAAGAGCGGCCCCCUUCUAGGUCAUACUUAGGGUGUUUAUAUAGGCCUUGGAUUGGCUUUCUUCCUCCCUAAGUAUCCUUUUCCGUGUAAAAUACAACUCUUUGAAAAAGGGACACGCCCGUGUGCCACGGCCGUGUGACGUGAUUGCCAGGCCGUGUUCGAUCCAUUAAUUUGCACACGGCCGUGUAGGCUCAAUGGCCAGGCCGUGUGAAUCGUGAAAAUCUUGGUCGACACCCCCGAAGGCCACAGGCGUGUGAGAUGCUCGUGUGGCAAGGCUUAGGCCGUGUCAUCUUCUCGAUUUGGUCCGUUUUGUCCCUGUUUGGCUCGUUUUUAGCUUCUUUUGACUCUUGGUGCUCUCCUGAGUACAAAACAUGAAAUAACAGGAUUAAGAGCACCAAAAUCCACAAAUCUAGUAGUAAACAUCCAUAAAUAUGCUAAGAAUUUGGGGUAUAGAUAUGUAUAAUUUGGCGUUUAUCAAUAUCAAAACAAGAAUUAAGAACACAUAAUUAAGAACAAGUCAAAUAUUUAUCAUACAAUUUAGAUAAUAAUAACAAGAUCUGUCUUAGGUGUCGUUCCUCUUAGGUAUUUAGGGGUUUUAGUUCAUAACUAAAAAGGUAAACAUCUCAGAAGAAUAAUGAAUACAAAACAUAAAUAAAAACCUAAAACUCCUGAAGGGAAAUUGAGGGGAGAUCUUCAGUCUUGAUGAUGAAUCCAGCUUCUGAGAUGGAUCAAUCGGCUUUCCUUGAGCAGUUCCCUGCUUCCUGCUCCGUGUGUCCUCUUUUCCUCCUCUUCUAGGGUGUAUUUAUAGGCUUUAGAAUGCCCAAGAACCCUCAAAAUUUGCCUUUUUCAAAUUGGACUCAACUUGGGCUCGACAGGGACACGCCCGUGUGCGAUUACUUCAGGCCAUGGUCAAGCUUGUUAAAUAGGCACGGGCAUGUGGCCCACCCGUGUGAGUCGUGCUUUGAUUUUGCCAAAUUGACACGGUCGUGUGGUCCAGGCCGUGUUGAUUUCAUAUAUUGGCCCAUAUUUUUCGUUUUCUGCCCUAUUCUCGUUCCUUCCACUCUCCUAUGCUCACUUAAGUAUAAAACAUGAAAUUUAGGCAUUAGGAGCAUCGAAUUCACCAAAUCUAAGGAAAAAUCAUCCAUAAAAUGUGCUAAGCAUGGGAUAGAAAUAUGUAUAAAUUACGAUUUACCAGCCGUGUGGAUCAUACGGCCUGGCCUAGAAUCCCACACGCGUGUAGCCUACACGGCCCAUUGGUCGAGCCUGUGUCUCACACACGGCCUCUUCGCCCAUCACAUGACCAUGUCGUGCACCCGUGUCACGUGCGUACAGCCUAGUUCAUCAACUACACGAUCGUGUACUACCACACGGGCGACCACACACCCGUGUGGCGUCGAUAGUUUCAUUUUUCAACUUUUGCCGAUUCUCAUUUUCUGUGUUUUUGAGUACACACCUGUAUCGCUUUUGAUGCCUAAAUACUCCCGAGCACUCCAGCACCUAUAUUUGAUCAAAAUUUCACUCAGUUAAUCAUUUUAACAAACGAGCUAACUAAACCCGAAACGGGUUAUUCACCUUUCGAGCAAGAAAACCAUUACCUACUAUUGAACAAUAGGAAUUCCACAUCCUUAGAACACCGAUGAACGAUAUUCUGCCCUUUGAUUAACACCUAAAAACUAGUCAAAAAUCCCUUUUAAACCAAUAUUCAGAAGAAACCGUUAAGAUCAAUUGAAAACCAAACUUACCGAAAGAUUAGGAUUACGUGCAGCACAAACAAAUGAGGUAAACUUGAGUAAAACAAUGAAAAAGACGAGAGGGGGAAAAGAGAUGGAAUUUCGGCAAAAGGGAGGGGAGAAGAGAAUAGAUUUUUUUGCAAAAAAAAAAAACUGAACAAAAAAUUUUAUUAACCCCUGAUCCCAAGUCCCCUUACUUUUCUCCAUCCACCACCCCAUUACACAGACUUUCAAUAAAACAAAAACUCUUAGCCGAAAAUCGUUGCAAAAUAAUCCCCUUACCACUGUAGAGAUUCAAACACAAGACCUUUAGCUUAACAACACAUCCCUUAACCACCAGACCAGUAGGCCCAUUCUGUUAUGAUUCUACCACUAAUCAAAUAAAAGCCUAUUGAGCAAAGACUGGACUUUAUUUAUAAAAAAAAAACAAAAUUUGCCCAAGUCAUGGCUUGAACUUGGGACCUCACACACACACCCAAAACACUUAACCACGAAAUAGAUACACACUUGUGUAAUAUUUUAUCCGAACAUAAAUUUAAAACUUGGGGCGUUAAAGGGUAGGUCGUGUGGACCAUCUUUUUGGGCAAUUUUUGGGACAGAUUAAGGGUCAUUUGAGGGACUCAAAAUAUGGGUCCGUAGGUAUCGUAUAGGACUAAAAAACGUAAGUUUUAGCACGUGACAAUAUAUGGAUAAACUUAGGAGGUAUGUUAAGUAAGAUAUGUUACAAUUAAAUUAUAUGCUGUUAUGAUCUAUAUGAAAAUGUGUGUACGCAUGUCAUAUGGUGUGUGAUAUAAAUAUGUAUGAUAUAUGAUAACGAUAUGCAUGUGUUUUGGGAUGGGUUAUGAUAUGAUGGAGAAACUGUUAUAUGGUAGUUUAUACUGCAAUUAUGACGGCUAGACCCGAAUUUCAAUUUGGCAAGUCGGCUGCAUAUAUAUAUGAGUGGCACACCCCAACAUAUUGGUGUCAUUGGUUAGAUGGACUCUUGUAGACCUAUACGGUGUGAUUGGCUGGUUGGAGAUGGUGAGUAGCGGAUAGGGGUAGGAUAUGAUUUGAUAUGAUAUGAUAUGAUAAGCUAUGCUAUGUUCAAUAUGAUAUGACAUGUCGGAAUAUGUUAUGAUAUGAUAAGAUAUACUUUGAUUUGAUUUUUACAAUGCUAUGAGAUGAUUUUAUGUUUAUAUUUACUAGUACUGAAAUUAUGGGGCCAAAUCACACACUGGGCUUAAAGCUUAUGCCUUUGUUUGCUUUGUUUUAGGUGAUCCUCCAACUUAGGAUUGAACAACGACUCUGGAGCUUGGAUUUCAUAUUUUUGGUUUAACUACUAUGGACUCUCAAUUUGUUUAUUAUGAACAUUUUGGACUUUUCUUUGGUUUUAUGGACUUUUGGACAUUUUAAGUUUUGUUUAGGAUGUUAGGGUUAUUUGGUAUUUAUUUUGUCAAAAUUUUUAAUUUUUAAUAACGCUUAACUUAAGAUAACUAAAAAUAAAUCACAACUUUAAAAUCGAUACAUUAUAAGGUUUCUAUUGCAAAAUAGAUUCAAGUUUACUAAGAAGUUUUAUCUCGCAACACUUAAGUAAUUAGAUUUGAUUUUAAUAAAACUAUUUUAAGCUCCAGUUUUAGAAACAAUUAUGAUUUUCAAAUGAGCUACUCAAAUUGACUUUUCUCUUCGCGGAAAGUUUGGUUUCCUUAAAAUUAAACAAUUGUUUUUUUUUGCAAGUACAAUGUAACCUCCAUUAUUCAACUGUAACAUCUAGGUCGAGUAUGGGGUGUUACAACAACAAAAUACUAAUAUUAGUAUAACGCCCCAAAUUUUUUAGAUUUUUGAAUGUGUAUAUUUGCAAAAUAAUUUAAUUUGGUUUGGUGGUUAAGUGCCUUGGAAGUUUGCUUUAGGGUCUUGGGUUCAAUUCCCUAGUUUGGAUUUUUUUCCCUAUUAAUUUUGGCUUUCAGUUAAGCUUGGGCCUUACGGCUUAAUUAAUUUCUUUGUUGGGUUAUGACAACGAUGAGCCUUGUGGUUCAAUGGUUAAGCAUUUGUUUGUUCUUUGGUUUUGAGUUUGAGUCCCAUUAUGCGCAAGUGUGGAAUAUUUUUGCUUGGCCCUUUGUUGGAAAUUAGAGUUUUCUUUAAAUUCUAAAAAAAUCUAGCGAGUAGGAAUAGUUUUGCACAAACUCCCUCAUUACUUCAUUUUUUUUACUUCAUGGUUUCUUUAUUAUUAUUUUAUGUUUGGUCACCCUUGUUCUGCCUUUUUGCAAUCUUUUCUUCCUUGGGUCUUCUUCUUUUCUUUGCCUCUAUUUUUCUUGAGCCUUUUUUGUUAUUAUUUCUUAAAUUUUGCUACUGUUCGUACGUUCUUGUUGCGUGGUUCUUCCUAGGCCAUAGUGUAAUGGUUACUCUUCUUAUUGUUUUAUUAUUUUGGUUUUAAUUGGGUUUGUGAGCAAGAUGGCCCUGUGCUGAAAUGUCUUUAUUCAAUGUUUUAAUUAGUUUUUUUAUGAUGUGAGAUUAGGCAAAAGGUGUAAGAAUCCUAACCCUCCAGCAGAGUAGGUACGAUUUUUCAAUGUCAGAAUCCUAACCCUCCAGUAGAGUAGGUACGAUUUUUCAAUGUCGUUUCAAGGAAGUAAGUAUUCAAACUUCGUUUAGGGGCUGGAAUUUUGUUUUUAAGGUUAUUGAUUUUUUAUGUUAAUUGUUGGUUAAUUUGUGGGAUUUUUUGAACAUUUGUAGGAUUUGUAGUUUUGUUAGCAUGGUCGAUAGAUUACUGCAUCGGGUGUGUGAAAAUAACCCCAAAAAUGCAUUUAAGAUUCGAUAAAAUUUCAAAAACAGGGGCUAUUUUGAAACAGCCCAGUGACCACACGGCUAUGUGUCAGGCCAUGUGGUGGACCGUGUGUGCUGCACGACCGUGUGCUAGGCAGUAUGGAGCACACGACAGUGUUAAUUCUUGUAGCUCGUGUGGCUUGGCCGUGUGAAAAGGUGUCGACCGUGUGGGCCUUUUUGCCCAAUUUUAGUGCCUGAUUAGGGGCAGUUGAGGGACUCAAAAUUUUGGUCUGUAGGCAUCGUAUGGGGCAAGAAAAGCCUAAAUAUCUAAACAUAAAAAUUUAUGGAUAAGUUUAGAAGGUAUGUUAAGUAGGUAAUGUACCAUUUAAUCAUGUGUUAUAUUAUGAUUUAUAUAAAAAUAUGUAAGUAUGCAUGUCAUAUGAUUUAUGACCUAUAAAUAAGUAUGAUAUAUGAUUACAAUUUGUUUAUGUUUUGAAGUGGGUUUUGAUAUGAUAGAGGAAGUGUUAUAUGGCAACUAUAUUGCAAUCAUAACGAUUAGACCGCUAAUUUAUGUAUGGCAACUCAGCUGCAAUGGUAGUGAUUGGAUGGAUGGACUCUUGUUGUCCUAUAUGAUGUGUAGCGAACAAGGGUAGGACAUGAUAUGAUUUGAUAUGGCAUGUCAUGUUAUGGUGUGAUAUGACAUGAUAUAUUUUGGUUCGUAACGAUGUGAUAAGCUAUAAUUCAAUUUGAGUUCUGAUAUGCUAUAAGACAAUUUGAUGAUUAAAUUUAAUUGUACUAAAAUUAUGGGCCAAAUCAUACACUAGGCUCAAAGCUCACGCCUUGUUUGCUUUGUUUUAAGUGAUCCUUCAACUUAGGAUUGGAUGAUGACUUUGAAGCUCAGAUUUCAAAAUUUUGGUUUAAGUGCUAUGGAUUUCAUAUGUUUUGUUUAUUAUGGACAUUCCGGACUUUUUCUUAGGUUUUGUUUAUUUCUGGACGUUUUAUGAUUUGUUUAGAUCAUUAGGACCAUUUCAGUUUUUAUUACGCAAAAGUCUUUACCUUUUUAAUGACGCUUAACUAAAAUAACUAGAAGAAAAAGAACUAUGAUUUUACAAACGUUAAGUUUUAAGAUUUUCUGCUGCAAAAUAAAUUGAAGUUCACCUAGUAGUUUUCUCCCAACACCUAAGUAAAUUAGACUUCAUUUUUUGUAGAACUACUUUAAGCUGUGCUUUCAGAAAUUGCUAUGAUUUUCAAGAGCUAUUCAAGAUGACUUAUGUCUUCGCGGAAAGUUGGUUUCUUUCAAAAUUAUUCACCUUUUAUUUUUUUUGCUCGUACGAUGUAACCCCCAUGAUCUGACCAUAACGUCUAGGCCGAGUAUCGGAUGUUACAGUUAUCUGACCUAAUGAAUAUUUGAUAAAUGUGUUUUAAUAAAAAAAUAUUUAUACAUAUCGAUUCAAUUGCAUCAAUGAUUUUAACCUAACAUAAUGGUAUACAUUGUUUUAAUCAUAUACUGUGAAUAAUUUUUCAAUUUUAUUUCUUUUAAGAUUUUUAAAGGAAUUAUAGAAGUCACUUGCGUGAAGUAAGAAUGGGGCAAAAAGUCUUGGAAUGUGCAAAGAAAAGUAUGAAGCAUAAGAAAAUACAAGGACAUAAAAAAAAUUACGUUCAGAUGUUAAGUAAUCAAUAAAAAAAAAGUACGGGUUGGGGCUGAUUUCUUUGUCACAACAAUUGUUUUAAAAAUAUUUUCAAUUUAAAAAUUUAGUUUUGAACCCCACUAAUUUACCAAUAAUAUGUAUGUAUGUAUCAAUUUAUUCUCUCUUUUUUUCUCAUAGCAUUUUAAUUUAAUUUACGAAAUUUUGAGAUGAAAAAUAAAACUUUUGGAAUCGAAAGUCACUUUCCCAAAGAAAUAUAAAGUCCUUAAUACAUUCAUCAUUUACUUUCAGUAAAGUUCGAAAAUUCAAAUUCAAAUUUUAUUUUCAUGAUAAAUUGAGUAAAGAAAACGUCAAAGAAUGUUAUCA
rnacentral:lncRNA from 1 species